UUUCGGUUCCGUUUAUGGAGCAAGACUUGAAGAUGGGAUGAAGAUUGCAAUAAAAGUGUUUCACCGGCAAUGUGCAAGCGCAUUGAAGAGUUUUGAGGCUGAAUGUGAAGUGUUAAAAAAAAUUCGCCAUCGAAACCUUAUCAAAGUUAUCAGCAGUUGCUCGAACGAUGACUUCAAAGCAUUAGUCCUAGAAUACAUGUCCAACGGGAGCUUAGGGGAUUGGCUGCAUUCGAGCAAUUACGUGCUGAAUAUUUUUCAAAGGUUGAACAUAAUGAUUGACGUUGCAUCAGCUUUAGAAUACCUCCACUUCGAUCAUUCAACUCCUAUUAUUCAUUGUGACUUAAAGCCUAGUAAUGUAUUGUUGGACGAAAAUAUGGUUGCUCAUUUGAGUGAUUUUGGCAUAGCAAAGCUUUUAAGUGGAGAAGAUGAGUCUACGAUGCGAACAAAAACCCUUGCCACUAUAGGUUAUAUGGCACCAGGUUUGCUUCAAACAACUUUUUUUUUUAAGUUCAUUUUAAAUUUUCUAAAUCAUUGAUUUUUACGAUCCUCAUAUCAAAUUGUUAUUGAUUAUUUAUCUAAUUGUGAAAUUAAUUUGAUUCAUAGAGUAUGGCAUAGGAGGAGAAGUAUCUACAAAAAGCGAUGUUUACAGCUACGGGAUUAUGUUGAUGGAAACUUUUACCAAGAAAAAACCCACAGAUGAAAUUUUUGUUGGAGAAUUGAGCUUAAAGCAUUGGGUUAAUGACUUGCUUCCUAAUUCAUUAGUGGAAGUUGUGGACAAAACUCUGCUAAGUGGAGAGGAAAAACAUUUUGCAUCAAAGGGGCAAUGUCUGUUGUCUAUCUUUAGUUUGGCUCUGGAGUGUACAAUGGAAUCACCGGAAAAGAGGAUUAAUGCAAAAGAUAUUGUUACCGGAUUACUCAAGAUAAGAGACACAUUGAGUAAAAGGAUAGGAAAUUUAAGUUAAUUUCGUUUGCUUUCAUUGAUAGUUAAUUCGAAUUCAUGUAAUAAGUGCAAGAAUCUUAUAUCUUUUCCUUUGAUAUAUUCUUUUUCUUGAGAAAACUGUUGUAGUCAUCUUGUUUCCAUGGGAAGAGUUGAUUUAGUUCUUCCAAAAAAUGCUACUGAUGACCUUUGUUUAAUACUUUCUCUUUUUUUGCACGUGUUUAGGUAGAACAGUGGUUUGGCUGCAGGCUAAUAAGUCAAGCUACGCCAAAAGCGUAUGAUUUAAUUUAUUAAACAUAACUUCAAGUUCAAGAAGUGUUUCUCAUUGCCACCAAUGCUUUGGACACCUGUUGGAAGGUUUGUUGUCCUCAGCUUUUGUUUAGAGCAAAAGUUCGAGUCCCAUAAAGGCUCAAACAUUCCUUUCCUUCAUCCCGAGGGCGCCUUCUGUCCUCUGUUUUCUGUUUCCACACACAAAUAGCAAAAAGAAAUUAGAAUGACAACUGGGACAUAUAUAAGAGUGAAAUAAUUAAAAAAAUUAUGCUUUUUUGUCUGUCGUGUUAAAAUCGUAAGUACCGAAGUACUGUGAAAGAGAUUAAUUUACAGAAACUGAAGCCAAGGGUUCAAAAAAAAACUAUUGAUGUAGCUAGGAUGCAAUGUCAUAUUCAUACAGAGAUGAAGUAUAUUAUUUACGGCUGGUAAAGACUAGGAAUUGAUGUAGCUAGAAUCCAAAGAUGAUAAGGUAUGUUGUGCACUAUUGUUUUAUUCUACGGUCAAUCUUGACCCUUGGUGCUUGGCUCUCAAUCUUGUCCAUUGAUCUUCUCUGAUCUUGGAAACUUCAAGACCUUUCACUCUCAUGCCUUAUUAUUGGUGUCUUCCAUGCUGUAGCUUUCAAAUACAAGCUUUCCCGCCAACUUGCCAAUUAUUUGUCCGUUGGUGCAUUUUAUCAAACAGUUUGGAUACUUAUACCAAACGCCUUCUGUUUUAACUCCCCCCCUCAAGCUCAAGCAUCUGGGAAGACAUUAAUAAGCUUGUUUCUCAAGUAUAUAUAUCUGAAAAUUAAAUUUUAUAAAUUAUAUUCGGACUCUACAUUUUCUAAUGAACAUUGGUUUGGCUUAUAAGCUUAUUAUACUCAGGUUUGGUAGGAGCCAUAUCACAAUGUUAACGCUAACCAGCAGUACUGCCAAAGCUGGCCAACUCAGCCUGCAAGUUCAUAGCAACCAUAGUUACAGUCCUAGUCCGGUACAAAAAUCGUAAAUAUCAUUUACAUUACAAUGGUGUGGGGGGGGGGGGGGGGGUUUGUUGGGUGGCUGGAGAGGGAAUCAACAAAGAUCUAGAACGAAGGGUAGGCUUGUAUCCGUAACCCAUGUCACAGUGUUAAUGCUAACCGUGGACCUUAUUAUAUUAGUUGCUGGACUAUUAUUACUUUUGAAUUGCCAUCUUUGAAUUUACGUUCAUUUCUGCCUCGACAAGAUGUUUGUAAAAAUAUGCUAAUUAUUAAUGUGCCGUGUACAAAUAAGCAUGUUACUGUGCAAGGAUUGUAGUCAUGAUACAGUGGUGCAAAAUGUACAUGCUACUUCUUCUUUUCCUCAGUUAGGAUCACCGUCGUCACCAUUUAAUUCUAAGUCCACCCAUGCGGCCUAUGCAAUUGAAAUCAUGUGACCAUGUAAUUUUAGGUUCUGAUCUUCCUUGUGGGGUUAAACCUCAAAACUGUGACCAUUUUGGGACUUUUAAUCAGUUCCAAUCAUUUUCUGGUUCCCAUUCGUCCACCCAAGCCUUGAUUCCCCCGAUAUAGCAUUGCAAUAUAUAUAGGAAUAUUAAGGUUGUGUACAGUUUUUUUCUUUUCUGUUUUUAAUUUGAUAUAAAUUAUCAAUCAUGAAUCUACAUAAAGUUUCAACUAGGCUACUACCACAAUAAACAUUUGGAUGAACUAUUAUUGAAACCUUAUUGAGAAGUAGGACAUGUCGCAUACCAAUGCACUGACAUAUCUUCAAAUAGUGGUAACUCCACACAACAUGGCACAAUAAAUUAAGAGUUAUAUAGAUAAAAUCUUUCACUCUUUGGUAAUCAUCAAUGUCGGCAUGACAAUGCGUCCCACAAAUAUGGCUCCUUAUCAAAAUUCAUAAAUCAAAACAAAAAUAGAGAAUCAUAUUUGUUCUAGAUUGUAGUGAUGGUUGUUGAUGCACUCACAAUUUACAAUUUUAUUUAAUAUCUUCAAAUUCGCAUUUUAAAAUGCCCAAAUGUUUGUGUAUACAUAAUUAGUAAUCGAUUCUCAAGCAUGGCCAUUUAAAAGCAUUGCUGAAAGACAAAAUUUUAAUUUACUAUUUUUUGUCUUUUAAUUUUCUUUAAGUUUUUAAUGAUUCCGCAUUUUAAAAUCCUGUGGAACGUGUAUGUAAAAUUCUUUUAUCUUUUAGAGGAAAAUGGGCAAGAGAAGAAGAUUUGGCAAAGGAAUUGCAACCGCAUUUGGAGCUAGUUUUAAUUUUGUCUUUUAAUUCUUUUACACUUGGCUUUUGUUAUUGAUGUCAACUUCGAUGUGUGUGAAGACUCGAGCUCACUCCCUUAUGAGCUAGUUUUAUUUUUCUACUUUCACAUUAAGAAAAAUACUCCUAUUUUUAAGGAAAAGUCAAGUACCUGUAGUUGUGAAGACUCGAGCUCACUCCCUUAUGAUAAAUCUUCAUAUUAAUUACGUAAAUAUCCUCUAAAAUUUUAAAUUAGCUAUUCAAAAUUUGAUGUUAUACGGGUAUUUCAUUUAUUUGAGUAGGGGUUGGGGGUCAAUUGGAUACAAAUUCAAAAUUAUCCUUACUUGAGAUGGUGAUAAAAAUUGGGGAUUUAAUUUGGAUGUCAUUAGCUACAAAUAUUAAACUCAUACAUUUAAUUCAAAAUUGGAAAGCUGAUAUAUGCGCAUCAUCCCACAACCUCUCCAAUGAAAAAUUAACACGUUUCUUGUGUGCAUUUGAUCAGAAUCCUGAAAAUUAAUCACAAAAUUGUCCUGGAAAAAAAAAUGCUUACAUAAAUGGUUUGAAAAAUCUAGAUUUCAAGUUGUCUAUAUUAGCUUGAUAUUUUUAUAAAUAGUCAUCCUCUCAAAAAAAUUCCAUCAAAAUAUAUUUUAAUUUUAUGUUAAUUCAUAAACAUGAAAAAAUCAUUUCAGAAUUAAUUAAAACAUAAUUUAUUGUUUCUCAAAAAAGGUAGAACUUAGUGAUAAGAAAAAAGUAUCUCAAAUAUAUGUAAAAAAAAAAAAAUCUUGGUUAGUUGGAAUGAUUGAAUUUGUUUUUUUUUUCUUUUUUAAGAAUUAAGACAAUCGGAUUGAUUGAGUAAUAAUAAUAUAUAUUUAUUUGGCAAAUGGCAGGUAGGCUUUCGUCUCAUGCAGAUUGAUUAGAGAGAAAAUAUAACAAUUUUAAGCUCGUCAGAUUCGAAGCUGCUUUCCUGUCGUGUGGGGAUCACUUCCGUGUCUUAUUUUUCUAGAAAAAUCAGGACCAUUGGAUUUAUGCGAAUCGUACUGAACAUUGGAAUUGAUGUAUAAGAAAAAAAUUCUGUAGUUUAAGAAGAACAAAAAGGCAUGUUGAAUAGAUUACAAUAGUUUAAGGAAAAAAAUUAUUCAAUUGGGAAUUUUUUUUUCUUUAAUUUUUGUUGUACUUGAUUGAGAUUUCUCCUUAGUCCUUAGAGUUUUAAGUUUGGAAACCGUAGGAUCAGUAAUUUCGUACUUCCUUUGCAAGCUGAGUAUAAGGAUGAAAUUCUUUUAAGAAAUUAAAAAAGAUAAAAAAAAAGCAUACCAAUAGGUAAUUAUAAAUAACCACAAAUAAAUAUAAACAAAAUGUUUAUGAAGUAAAUUAAACAUGCUCAUAUUAUUUUCUUUUAUUUUCUGCUUGGAAACCCAUAAAUACACUAAUCCAGUAUUACUAAUUUCAGACAGAAAAUUUUGAAUUUAACCAGUAUACACUAAUCCAGUAUUAUUUUUAUUAUUAUUUUAAUUUGUUUAUAAAUUACUAUUUUAAUUUGUUUAUAAAUUACUAUUUUAAUUUUCACUUUUUAUUGGGUUGUUUAACGGAUUAGUGAAGCUGGUGGUCGUUGAUGCACUCACAAGGUACAAUUUUAUUUUAGAAUUUCAAAUUCGUAAUUUAAAAUGCAGGCACAUUAUGUAUACAUAAUUAUUGAUUUUCAUAUGUGGGUGUUUUGAAAUAUUGCCAAAAGACCAAACUUUAAUAAACUAUUUUUGAUCUUUUUUUUUCCUUUGUACCUAAAGUUUGAGUGAUAUCCGCAUUUUAAAUUCAUGUGGACCAAAAGCUAAUGUAUGCACAAAAUUCUUUUAAUUUUUUCCGAGAAAAAUGGGUAAGAGAAGAAGAUUUUUCUCUUGAAAAAGAAAAAAUAAUACGUUGCAAGCAUAGGAAAGAGGCCAGUGUUUUGGAUUUGAAUUUAGUAUUGGGUUGAAUUUUAUGCUAAGCUCUUUUAUAAUACUUUAUAGAAUAAAAAUGUAAGGGAUAUUUGGCUAGGCAUGUACUUUAUAGAAUAAAAAUGUAAUAAUGUAAGUCAGUGCAAUGAUCUGCUGUCAUAGUAGUUAUAAAUAUUUAUGUGUAAUACAGUAACAUGAUGCUUAAUCAGUUAAAAAAAAAUUGUAUAUCUUUUUUUAUUUUUUUUAUUGUGAUCAAUAUAACUAGUCAAAUUUAUUUUUAAAUAUUUUUUUAAAAAUAUUUUUAUCGUGUGUUUGCUCCAUUACAGGGUUUCUUCAAUUUAAAAUAGAGAAUCAUUUGUGUUCUAGAUUAAUCGUGGGUCUAUAUCCAAAUCCAAAAAUUGACUAACUUGAUUUCUAUUAAGUUCUCAACCCUAACAAGAAAAAUAAAAGAGUAAAAAUGACUAUUUUGGUUUCUAUUAAUUUGAGUAACGCUUAAUAUUUAUCAUACAAUAGUCACUUAUAUUAUCAAAAUCUUGGGUCGAAAAUAUUAGGAUAGGUGAUAAUUGGAAUUAAGUUGUAGAUAAGAUAGCCUUUCAAAAAAAAGAAAAGAAAAAAAGUUGUAGAUAAGAUAGAAAUGGAUUUGGAGAGAGAUUGGAAUCCUGGCUAAUCCGGUGCACGUUGUUGCGUUAAAUUCUCGUUGACUUCACGUUGACCGAAGCAUUAUUGGAAGAAACAAGCAAGCUUAUUUUCUUCUCUCAUUUUUUACUUUUGUCUAAAUUUAUUGAUGUGAGCCCUCUGAGAUGGUAAAGUGUUAAAUCUGAGAAGAGUACCCACACACCCAUUUGUUGGAGGAUUAACAAUUAAAACACACUAUUUUAUUUCUUCAACAACACUCCUCACCAAUUACAACUCUUAUUUUUCACUCUCUACACCUUAGAGAUUUUGCUGCUUCACUUGAUGUUUAAACCAAAAGGGAGAGGGGGUAUUUAUAUAUGAAACAAACUAAUCACAACCAUUCAUUUAUUCAACUAAUAAACACAUCCUCACCAUCCAUUAAAACCUACCACUCACCUACUUCACCAACCACACCUAACACACCUAACACAAAUAAUUCAAACCUCACCAACCAUACCUACUCAUGGAACCUUCCAUGAGUUGGGCUUGAUUUAUUCAUCUUGGAUCAAGUUUAUGAUCCAACACCUCUCCUUAAACUUGAUCCUGUGACACCAAGCAAACUUCUGAAUCUUACAAAGUCUUCUUGUUUGAGUGGUUUAGUGAAGAUAUCAGCUGCUUGAUCUUGUGAUUUUACAUACUUGAUUUGCACUUCUUUUCUUGCAAUACACUCUCUUAUGAAAUGAUAGCGAGUGGCUAUGUGUUUACUUCGAUCAUGAAAGACUGGAUUCUUGGAUAGGGCAAUUGCUGAUUUGUUAUCAACACAAAUCUCAGUUGGCUCUUCUUGUGCCAAACUCAACUCCUUUAGCAAAUUUCUGAGCCAAAUUGCAUGACAAACACUUGAUGUGGCAGCUACAUAUUCAGCUUCACAGGUGGAUAGCGUGACAAUUGGUUGCUUCUUUGACAUCCAUGUGAAAGCAGUAUCUCCUAUGAAGAACACAAAUCCUGUGGUGUUAUUUCGAUCAUCUACAUCUCCACCCCAAUCGCUAUCGCUAUAUCCAACAAGCUUGUAGUCAUUAGAAAAUGAGUAUAGCAAGCCGAAAUUAGUUGUACCUUUGAUGUAGCGAAGGAUUCUUUUUGCAGCUUUAAAAUGGGUGGUCUUUGGAUUCUCCAUGUAUCGGCUCACAAGUCCAACAACAUAAAGGAUAUCUGGUCUUGUGCAUGUCAAAUAACGUAGGCUUCCAACCAAACUUUUAAAGAAUGUUGGAUCUAUAUCUUCGCCUUCAUCAUGUUUGGAUAACUUGACUCCGCAUUCCACUGGCGUGCUUAUAGGCUUACAAUCAUUCAUCUUGAACUUCUUGAGAAUCUCCUCUGCAUAGCUUUCUUGGGAGAUAAAUAUGCUUUCUUCCUUUUGCUUGACUUCAAUGCCGAGGUAAUAUGCCAUCAGUCCGAUGUCAGUCAUCUCGAACUCUUUGAUCAUCACUCUCUUGAACUCUUCAAACAAGCCUGGAUUACUUCCAGUGAAAAUGAGAUCAUCCACAUACAGGCACACAAUCAAAAUAUCUCCAUAUUUUUCUUUGACGUAGAGAGCAUGUUCAUAUGGGCAUUUGGUGAAGCCUUUCUCUUGAAAAUACUUGUCAAUUCUGCUAUUCCAUGCCCUUGGUGCUUGCUUUAACCCAUAAAGAGCUUUCUUCAAUCUCAAAACUUUGUCCUCGUGUCCUUUCACCACAUAGCCUAAUGGUUGUUCGAUGUAAACUUCUUCUUCAAGGAAUCCAUUCAAGAAAGCAGACUUCACAUCCAUUUGAAAAAUCUUCCAUUUGUUCUGAGCAGCCAAAGAAAUAAUAAGUCUAAUAGUUUUAAGUCGAGCUACAGGAGCAAAUACCUCGUCAUAGUCUAUGCCAGCCUUUUGACUAUAGCCUUUUGCAACUAGCCUCGCCUUGUGCCUUUCAAUUUCUCCCUUCGCAUUUCUUUUUGUUUUAUACACCCAUUUGACACCGAUCGCCUUGUGACCUUUUGGAAGAGUAGUAAGCUCCCAAGUAUCAUUCUUCACAAUGGCUUUGAUUUCUUCAUCCAUUGCAAUUCUCCACUUCUCAUCUAGUGCAGCUUCUUGGAAGUUGACUGGCUCACAAUCAGCAAAGAGGCAAAAGAGAGUGAGAUUAUCAUGUCUCUCAGUUACCUCAUAGAGAUCUUGAAGACUCCUUGCACGUUCUUCGGUUCUUUCAUUUAAGAAAGACGGCGGUGAAUCUCCGCAUGUGGUUGGUGCUGGUGAGAUAGGUGGAGUGGCAGGCUCUUGUUGUUCGUCUACUUGUUUUACCUGUGUAUGAUCAUCUUCUUCAAUGGGAAAGAAGUUGAAGUCAUCCACACCAGAGCCAAAAUCUCAUUCUCCUUCUUCAUCAAAAAUUACAUCUCGACUGAUCACAAUCUUUCCGUUGUUUGGAUUGUAAAGCUUGUAUCCUUUGGAGUUGUUGUCGUAGCCGAUGAAGAUGAACAACUCACUUUUGUCAUCCAGCUUGGCUCUACUUUCGUCUGGUACAUGUACAUGGGCAAUGCUUCCGAAAACUCUUAGAUGGGUGAUGCCAGGUUUUCUUCCACUCCAAGCUUCUUGUGGCGUCUUGCCCCACACGCUUCUUGUUGGAGAUCGAUUGGAUAAGUAGAUUGCACAUGCAACUGCUUCAGCCCAAAAUUCUUUAGGUAGCCUCUUACUCUUAAGCAUGCUUCUUGCCAUGUCGAGGAUGGUUCUGUUCUUCCUUUCUGCAACACCAUUUUGUUGGGGGGAUCUUGGAACUGUCAAAGGGCGUCGAAUUCCAUUUGCUUCACAAAACUCUAAAAAUUCUUUGGAAGUGAACUCUCCACCUCGAUCAGAUCUCAUGGCUUUAAUCUGGUAUCCACUUUCUUUUUCAACUGCAGCUUUAAACUUCUUGAAAGCUUCAAAGACUUCUGAUUUUUGCUUCAAAAAAUACACCCAAGUUUUUCUUGAAAAAUCAUCUAUAAAAAGAAUGAAGUAGUUACUUUUACCAAGGGAGUUUGGCUUGAAUGGACCGCACACAUCAGUAUGAAUGAGCUCGAGUGGCUUCUGAGCUCUUGAGUUUGACUCCUUUGGAAAGCUCUUUCUGAACUGCUUGCCAAGUAAACAUCCUUCACAAAGUUGAUCAGGGUGAUUGAUGUAUGGUAAGCCUUUCACCAUGUUCUUCUUAGAGAGUAGCUCCAGUCCUCUAAAGUUGAGAUGCUCAUAUCGAAGAUGCCAAGUCCAGGAUUGAUCUUUGUGACAGGCUUUGAGACAUUUUGCAACAUCAUUUUGAAUAUUUAAAGGAAACAUUCUAUUCUUUGACAUUCUCACUUUUGUAUUUAGAUUUCCUUUUUCAUCUCUUAGAAAAAGACUAUAAUCUUUUAAGUGAAUAUCAUAGCCCUUUUUCUAAAAGUUGACCUAAACUAAGAAUGUUGCUUUUCAUAUUGGACACAUAGUAAACAUUCGAAAUUAUUUGGUGGCUACCAUCUUUUGCACGAAAAAGAAUGUUACCUCUACCCUUCACUGGUACUUUUGAAUCAUCUCCAAAAGUGACACUGCCAUUCACAAAUUCACUUAGUUGCACGAACAUGCUUCUGUUUCCACUCAUAUGAUUGCUAGCACCUGUGUCAAGAUACCAUGUAUUUUCUUGACCUCCAUUUGUGUCAUUGCGUGCUAGUAAAAGUGUGUCAUCUUCACCAUUUUUCUCUUCAGCAUAGUUCACUCUCUCUUUAAUUCUGGUGCUUGGAGCUCUGCAUUCUGAAGCAUAAUGCCCAAACUUUUGACAAUUAUAGCACUGUACUUGGGAUUUGUCAUACCUCGAUCUUGAAUUGCCUCUGCCUUGUUCUCUGGUUGAGCUUUCUCCUUUGGCAUAAUUGGAGUUGUUGUUGUUGAAAUUCCAACCUCGUCCAUGACCACGACCUCUACCUCGUCCUCGACCUCUACCUCGGACAUAGUGCCUUCUCUCAUUGUCGGAGCUUUCUUCUCUUUUCUUUGGAUUGACUUCCAUCUUGAGAAGUUGUUCUUCGAUUCCUUGCUUCUUUUUUUGUUUUUCUUCAUAGGCUUGCAACCUUCCUUGAAGUUGCUCGAUCGUCAUAUCCUCCAGAUCUCUUGUUUCUUCAAUUGUCAUAACAAUAUGAUCAAACUUCGAGUCUACUGAUCGAAGUAUCUUUUCAAUGAUCCUUACCUCUUUUAACUCCUCGCCAUUUCUUUUUAAUUCAUUGGAAACGGUCACAACUCGAGUAAAGUAGUCAGAAAUUGACUCCGACACCUUCAUGUGUAAGGACUCAAAUUCUCCUCGUAAUGUUUGGAGACGAACCUUCUUAACUUGCUCUGCUCCUUUGUAAGAGGUCUUUAGUUUCUCCCAUGCUUCUUUUGAGGAGGUUGUACCAGCAAUCUUUUCAAAAGCAUCUUCAUCUAAUGAUUGAAAGAUGAGAUACUUUGCUUUAUUCUCUUUCUUCUUCAAGUCUUUUAAAUUCUCCUUCUGCGCCGCAGUUAAAGUGGCUUCAUUUUCUGGCACAAUAAAGCCUUUCUCCACGACAUCCCAUACGUCAUGUGCACUCAAUAGAGCCUUCAUUUUAAUACUCCAAUUGUCAAACUUACUUCCUUUUAAUUGUGGAACUUGAAAUGACAUCAUCAUACCACCGUUUGCCAUAACUCACAAAUUGAGUGAGAAUUUGGAGAUUCUGAAUGCACAGAUGGAUCCGGCACGUCGAAAAACCUUGGGAAGGACUCGAGUCAACUUUCGGUCAACGGUCAACGUCGGUCAACGGUCAACACCGGCUUGGUAGUCUCGGUUCGGUCCGGAUUGGUUCAGCUCGAGUUGGCUCGGUUCGACUUGAUUCGGUUCAGCUCGGCUCGGCUUGGUUCAGUUCGGCUCAGCUUGGUUCAACUCGGUGAGUCGACUCAGCUUCAGGACAUAAAACUUCCGGCGGCAGGUGUGGGCGCGUACGGUCUCGGAUCGGGAUGAUUUUUGCGGCGUCACGUUCCUCUCGUCGAGAUCUUCGAUUUGAUAUGCUAUAUGACUAUAUAUAGCAUCAAACACUAGCUCUGAUACCACUUUGUUGGAGGAUUAACAAUUAAAACACACAAAAAACACACUAUUUUAUUUCUUCAACAACACUCCUCACCAAUUACAACUCUUAUUUUUCACUCUCUACACCUUAGAGAUUUUGCUGCUUCACUUGAUGUUUAAACCAAAGGGGAGAGGGGGUAUUUAUACAUGAAACAAACUAAUCACAACCAUUAAUUUAUUCAACUAAUAAACACAUCCUCACCAUCCAUUAAAACCUACUACUCACCUACUUCACCAACCACACCUAACACACCUAACACAAAUAAUUCAAACCUCACCAACCAUACCUACUCAUGGAACCUUCCAUGAGUUGGGCUUGAUUUAUUCAUCUUGGAUCAAGUUUAUGAUCCAACACCAUUAUCCUAUUACUCUUAUUUUAUCACAUGCAGAGACGUCAACGUUUGAUUCGCACGGAAAAAAAUUUGCGAGGAUUGUGAGGGUUGAUUCAAUAUAAUUUAGAUGCAAAGUGUUUACAAGUGCGAUGCUUCGUAAGUGCACCCGAAUCAUUAUAAACUCACCUUAUUUUCAUAGUGAUUAUUUCAUCUGCAUGUGAAUAUAAUCAUAUGUGGAGAUUUUUUUUUUCCCUAAACGAUGAUCUUCUCUAGUAUUGAGGUGUUAUAUCUUUUAAAUUAUAAUUAUUAUUAGUAAAAAACUGCAACUAUGAAAAAUAAAUUUAAUAUUAUGUCCUGAAUAUAAUUGUUAAAUAAUAAUUUUGACAAAAUUAAUGAAUAUAUACAGAUUUUUUUAUCAUAUAAAUGUAAAAUUAUAUCAACUUAGCUUCUAAGCUAUACAACGGUUACUAUUUACUAAAUACUUUAGUGUCGUAGUUUUUAAGAUAUAUUUAUCCACCCUCAAUCCCAAACAUAACCUGUAAGGAUAAAAAAUUUCAUCCUAAAAAUUAUACGUCUUGUGACUUAUUUAAUUUAUAUUUUUGUUAUUUAUAUUUAUUAAUUAUAGUCAUCUUUUAAUAAAUUACAAUUGAAGGAAGGUGGUUGAUGUUGUCGAGACACACACACAAAGAUAUAUUGGAAGUGCUUAUGUCCACUCGAAGUUGUGGGGAGUUAAUGCAUGUAUUGAUUUAUUGGGAGUGUUAAUGCAUGUAUUGAUUGAUUGAGUGAUUGAAUACUGUUUGAUUGCUUCAUAUCAAUUCUAGAAAGUUUAUUUCUUUGUGAAAUUUCAACGAAACGUGUUUUUUAGAAUAAUAAGGGUGUUUUAAGUAAUUUUAAAAAAUGAAUGGACUAAUUAGAAUUAAUUAUUAGGUAAUUAACUCGAAUUGUAGAGGGUAAGCAAACAUUUAUCCUAAUUAUAUUAUGAUAAAUCCUUUUCCAAUUAGAAUUAGGAAACCAUAGAUAUACUGAAUUUUUUUUUAUUUCCCUUCGCGAAAACGGAUCAGAGAAUUAGAAAACAAUCCUAGUGAUACUAUUGUUAGGUUUAAAACACUGCAUAGAUGGUAAAAACAUUGGAAUUGAUGUAGAUUAAUUUGUUAAUUGCUAUCGUACUGAACAUUGUUUUAUGCAAAUUAAUUUGAGAAUUAGAAAAAAGUUUGUUGCAUGCAAACUUUUUGUUUUAUGCAAAUCGUACUGAACAUUGGGACUGAUGUUUAAGAAAAAAAUUCUGUAGUUAAAGAAAAACAAAAAGGCAUGUUGAAUAGAUUACGAUAGUUUAUUCAAUUGGGAAUUUUUUUUCUUUAAUUUUUGUUGUACUUGAUUGAGAUUUCUCUUUAGUCCUUUCGUACUUCCUUUGUAAGCUGAGUAUAAGGAUGAAAUUCUUUUAAGAAAUUAAAAAAGAAAAAAAAGCAUGCCACUACGCAAUUAUAAAUAACCACAAAUAAAUAUAAACAAAAUGUUUAUGAAGUAAAUUAAACAUGCACAUAUUAUUUUCUUUUAUUUGCUGCUUGGAAACCCAUAAAUGCACUAAUCCAAUAUUACAAUUAAUUUCAAACAGAAAAAAUUGAACUCUAGGCUGCAGUUUGACUCAAAAUGAUGACCACUGGCUUCGCACCAUUCAACCGGUAUACAUUUCUACAAACCGAACAACGCUAUUGAUUUUUAUUUUUUUUUUUAAUUUGUCUAUAAAUUACUAUUUUAAUUUUCACUUUUUAUUGGGUUGUUUAACGGAUUAGUGAAGCUGGUGGUCGUUGAUGCACUCAUAAGGUACAAUUUUAUUUUAGAAUUUCAAAUUCGUAUUUUAAAAUGCAGGCACAUUAUGUAUACAUAAUUAUUGAUUUUCAUAUGUGGGUGUUUUGAAAUAUUGCCAAAAGACCAAACUUUAAUAAACUAUUUUUGAUUUUUUUUUUCCUUUUUACCUAAAGUUGGAGUGAUAUCCGCAUUUUAAAUUCAUGUGGAACAAAGCUAAUGUAAGCACAAAAUUCUUUUAUUUUUUCCGAGAAAAAUGGGUAAGAGAAGAAGAUUUUUCUCUUGAAAAAUGAAAAAAAAUACAAUGCAAGCAUAGGAAAGAGGUCAGUGUUUUGGAUUUGAAUUUAGUAUUGAGCUGAAUUUUAUGCUAAGCUCUUUUAUAGUACUGCGAUUAAUAAGCUAGCUCAGGAUUUGCUUUUGCUUUUACUUCAAGUAAAAGAAAGAGGAAGCCUUUUGUUUUUUUGUUUGAUUUUUGACUAUAUAUGUUACCUAUAUAGAGAGUUGAGGUAGCAGCCUUAAGUGAUGGUGAUAAAAAGAUUAAGCAGUGCACACAAUCUUACUGUCAUCCAGACCAUCCAGUGAUGGCUCUAGUUUUUUUGUUACGUUAGCUUUAGUGGAAAGAAGGGCCAAUUUAACAAAGACUAGAUUUGGUGGCUUACUAUGUUUAAUGUAAUGCUUAUUCUCAGCGCACACAAUCUUACUAUGUUUAAUGUAAUGGUUAUGUUGAAUGAUCUUCUAUGAUUGUGAGUAGUAUAGUAUAAUUGAAAAGGGCCUGGGCUCCUAUGAUGAAUAACAGUAACACAUUACUGUGAUUGAGAAAACUCAGUUCCAAUAAACUCUUCAUUUACUCAUUGCGGAGAUCGAAUGGCAAACAGAGAAUAGAAUGAAGCAGAAGAAUCUCAUUGUUAGGUUUUGAUGAUUUCAGAUGCUUUUUUUUUAAAAAAAAAUUGUGACAUCUUUGAUUUACGGCAGUUUUGCAGAAAAAAAAAACAUAUAAAAAUUAAGAGGGAUGAGUUAACUGACGAUUACAAUCAUUACAGCAAUGCUGAUGAGUGAUAUAUCACUUGAAAUUUACUUGUCAGUUGCUGAAAUGAUGAAAAAAAACCAACAAACGAUAACAGUAAUAAUGUUCCCUUGCUGAAAUUCAAUUUUGACUUUCGACUCUUGGCUUUUAUGGAGAGUAAAAUGACUUGUAUAUUAUACUCAUACAAUCCACUCUACAUAAUGAUAUCGUUUUAAUAAGGCAAUGGCUGAUGAUCUCCAUUUAAAAACUACAUCAAUUUUUUUGCUUCAUUUAACUUUUUGGUUGUUGAAAAUAACCUUAAUUAUCAAAUAAUUGGAGAAAGAGUUAAGAACAUUUAACAAAUUUAUGUGCAAAAAAAAAAAAAAAAGGAAGAAGUUGAAGAGAAAGGGUGCUUGCAGAAGUGGGUGUCAAAGAUAAAUCGGUCCAUAAGAAUUAUUGUGGUUAUUUUUUGGCAAUAUAAAAAUUUUUUAGCAAGUAAAAAUAAUUUUUUUUCCGAUUUACUAAAAAAUUAACUAAAAACUUCUGCGAUGUCAUUUUUUAUGGGUGCAUAUACCCUCCCUUUAAAAAAUUUAUAAUAAUUACUGCUUAAUAUAGUAUUAAAUACGAAAAAUAUCAAUAUUUGACUACUCAAAUUUAUAUCAUUAGGUCCUUAAAAUUUAAAAUGGAAGAUAUGAAAGGAAAUAUAUAUAAAUUUCAUUGUCCUGGGAAAGGACCCUCUUAUUAUCUUAUAAUAUUUGAAAUUUGAUAGAUUUUUUGAAACAAAUGUACUUUUAUUUGUGUACAAUCAAUAUUUACUCAUUUAUUAUAUUUUAAUUUAUUAACUAUCAAUCAUGUAAGUAUACUUAGUCAAAAAAAUUAUAUCAAGAGAGAAUUCUAAUUUCACGCAAAAACAAAUACCAAAACAAAUAUCUCAAUUUCUAUACUAUUCACUUUCCUGUAGAAUCAAUUAUUUAAAAUGCAAGUUUGUGGCUACAGAAAACUCGCCAAAGAAAGAAGAUAAUAACAAUUGAGCAUUGAUGGCAAAACUAAUGCAUCCAAUUCUUCUUGACUUGAUGAGAUGGCGCCAUAACGUAGAAACAAGUACCUAAAUUGACCGGCACUGAGUGGUGUGAAUACUACCAGCCAGUUCAUCUCUUCCAGUCUUGCUUAAUCACAAUCACAAACACCACGAGAUCGACAUUUGCAUUAUAUAUAUCUUCUGCAAUCGAAACACCUUGCAUUACCAAAUAAGCCCGUAACAGACAAAGCAAUCUUUCAUGGAGAGAAACCUUAGUCUCAGUAUGAUCACUGUGUCAUUAACGUACUGCCUGCUUCUUUGCUUGGUUGCUGCAGCAGCAGCAGCGGCAAGCAACAAUAUUACCACAGACCAACAAGCUCUUCUUGCCCUGAAAGAUCAUAUAAUUUAUGAUCCGACCAGCCUUUUAGCUCACAAUUGGACCUCGAAUACCUCUGUUUGUACCUGGAUUGGCAUCACUUGUGAUGCCAAUAGCCAUAGAGUCACAACCUUAGAUAUUUCUCAAUUCAAUCUACAAGGCACCAUCCCUCCUCAACUUGGGAACCUCUCUUCACUCACAACACUUAAUCUUAGUCAUAACAAGCUUUCUGGAAACGUUCCCUCCUCCAUCUACACCAUGCAUACGCUAGAAUUUCUUGACUUCACUGAUAACCAGCUCUCUGGUUCAGUGACUUCCUUCGUCUUGAACAUGUCUUCAAUAUUAGACAUUCGUUUGACCAAUAACAGACUUUCUGGUGAGCUUCCGAAAAAUAUUUAGAGCUAUCUUCCUCAUUUGAAAGCCCUUUUUUUGGACAAAAACAUGUUUCAUAGCAAACUUCCUUCUGCUUUAUCAAAGUGCAAACAACUGCAACAAUUAAAUUUGAAGUUCAAUAAUUUAUCCGGUGCAAUACCAAAAGAAAUCGGCAACUUGACUAUGCUCAAAGGGAUAGACCUCGGCUACAACAAACUCCACGGUAUGUUCAUAAUACUAUACAAAUAUUAUCUUUCUUGAAUACUUUAGAUAAGAUCUUGUAUGUGAGAUUUUUUUGCAUCUAUAUUAAUUUUCCAGGUGAGAUACCGCACGAAAUCGCUAAUCUUCCAAAUCUAGAGGCUUUAGCGCUUGGAAUGAACAACCUAGUUGGUGUGUUACCAGCUCCAAUCUUCAACAUGUCAACACUGAAUGUACUUAUCCUCAUAAAUAACUCUCUCUCCGGUAGUCUUCCAUCAAGAAUGGACCUUUCACUUCCAACUAUUGAGCAUCUUAACUUUGCACUUAAUAGAUUUUCUGGAACAAUUCCUAGUUCCAUAACCAAUGCUUCUAAGCUCACAUUUCUAGAGUUGGGAGGAAACACAUUUUCGGGCUUUAUUCCAAACACAAUUGGUAAUUUAAGAAACCUUGAGUUGUUCGGCUUGGUUUUUAACUACUUGACAUCUUCGAGCUCAAAAUUGAGCUUUCUUUCCUCUUUGGCAAAUUGCAAGAAAUUAAGAGUCAUAGGCUUAACAGGCAAUCCACUCAACGGCAUCCUUCCAAGUUCAGUAGGUAAUCUUUCUAUGUCUUUGAAAACACUUCACAUCGCCAAUUGCAGUAUUAGUGGCAACAUUCCUCCAGCAAUUAGCAAUUUAAGCAACUUGUUGGCCUUAGUAUUAGAAGGCAAUAAAUUGACUGGACCAAUCCCAACUACAUUCGGCCAACUACAGAAACUCCAAGGCUUAGAUCUCGCAUUCAAUAAGUUGGUAGGUUCAUUCCCAGAUGAGCUUUGCCAUCUAGCUAGGCUGGAUGAAUUGGUCUUAUUUGGCAAUAAGCUUUCAGGAUCUAUACCUUCAUGCUUAAGUAACCUCACUUCUCUGAGAUCUCUCCACUUAGGGUCCAAUAGGUUUACUUAUGUCAUUCCCUCAACUUUCUGGAGCCUAAAAGACAUCUUGUUCUUUGACUUUUCAUCAAAUUUCUUGGUUGGUCCUCUUUCUUUAGACAUAGGAAAUUUGAAGGUGCUUCUAGGAAUAAAUUUAUCAGAAAAUAACUUAUCGGGUGAUAUGCCAGCCACAAUUGGAGGACUAAAAAACCUUCAAAUUAUGGACCUAACAUAUAAUAGACUGGAAGGGCAAAUUCCUGAAUCAUUUGGUGACUUGACAAGUUUGGAGGUUUUGAAUUUGUCAAAUAAUAAAAUCUCUGGGUCUAUUCCAAAAUCCAUGGAGAAACUCUUUUACCUUCGAGAGUUAAAUCUCUCUUUCAAUGAACUAGAAGGUGAGAUUCCUAGUGGAGAAAUUUUUACCAACUUCACAGUUGAGUCAUUUAUGGGAAAUGAGUUAUUGUGUGGUUUACCAAAUCUUCAAGUCCAACCAUGCAAACUUAGCAAGCCAAGGACAGAACAUAAAUCAAGGAAAAAGAUACUUCUCAUUGUGAUUGUUUUGCCAUUGAGUAUUGCUCUAACAAUAGCAAUCACUCUACCUCUCAAAUCUAAGCUGACCAAAUGUGGAAAAAGAUGCACAGUGUUGUCAAAUGAUAGUGUCUUGUCAUCACAAGCAACACUAAGAAGAUUUUCAUACUUAGAACUUUUACAAGCAACAGAUAAUUUUGCUGAAAACAACGUAAUUGGCAUAGGUGGUUUUGGUUCUGUUUAUAGAGCAAGACUUGAAGAUGGGAUGAAGAUUGCAAUAAAAGUGUUUCACCAGCAAUGUGCAAGCGCAUUGAAGAGUUUUGAGGCUGAAUGUGAAGUGUUAAAAAAUAUUCGCCAUCGAAAUCUUAUCAAAGUUAUCAGCAGUUAUUCAAACAAUGACUUCAAAGCAUUAGUCCUAGAAUACAUGUCCAACAGGAGCUUGGGGGAUUGGUUGCAUUCCAGCAAUUAUAUGCUGAAUAUAUUUCAAAGGUUGAACAUAAUGAUUGACGUUGCAUCAGCUUUGGAAUAUCUCCACUUCGAUCAUUUACCUCCUAUUAUUCAUUGUGACUUAAAGCCUAGUAAUGUAUUGUUGGAUGAAAAUAUGGUUGCUCAUUUGAGUGAUUUUGGCAUAGCAAAGCUUUUAAUUGGGGAGGAUGUGUAUGUCAUGCGAACAAAAACCCUUGCCACUAUAGGUUACAUCGCACCAGGUUUGCUUCAAACAACUUUUUUUUAGUUCAUUUUAAAUUUUCUAAAUCAUUGAUUUUUACGAUCCUCAUAUCAAAUUGUUAUUGAUUAUUUAUCUAAUUGUGAAAUUAAUUUGAUUCAUAGAGUAUGGCAUAGAAGGAGAAAUAUCUACAAAAAGUGAUGUUUACAGCUAUGGGAUUAUGUCGAUGGAAACUUUUACCAAGAAAAAACCCACAGAUGAAAUUUUUGUUGGAGAAUUGAGCUUAAAGCGUUGGGUUGAUGACUUGCUUCCUGAUUCAUUAGUGGAAGUUGUGGACAAAACUCUAGUAAGUGGAGAGGAAAAACAUUUUGCCGCAAAGGAGCAAUGUCUGUUGUCUAUCUUUAGUUUGGCUCUGGAGUGUACAAUGGAAUCACUGAAAAAGAGGAUCAAUGCAAAAGAUAUUGUUACCAGAUUACUCAAGAUAAGAGACACAUUGAGUAAAAGGAUAGGAAAUUUAAGUUAAUAUCGUUUGCUUUCAUUGAUAGUUAUUUUGAAUUCAUGUAAUAAGUGUACGAACCUUAUAUCUUUUCCUUUGAUAUUUUUUUCCUUGAGAAAACUAUUGUAGUCAUCUUAUUUCCAUGGGCAGAGUUGAUUUAGUUCUUCCAAGAAAUGCUACUGAUGACCUUUGUUUUAUACUUUCUCUUUUUUUGCAUGUGUUUAGGUAGAACAGUGGUUUGGCUGCAGGCUAAGAAGACUAACUACACUAAAAGAAUAUGAUUUAAUUUAUUAAACAAAACUUCAAGAAAAGUAUUUCACUGCCCCCAAUGCUUUGGACACCUACUGGUGGGUUUGUACGUGUCCUCAACUUUUUUUUGGAGCACAAAAUUCGAGUCCCAUGGAGACUCAAACAUUCCUUUCCCACAUCUCGAGCACGCUAAAUUUAUCAGACUGACAACUGGGACAUAUACAAGAGUGAAAUGUUUAGAGCACUCUAAGUUCGAGUGAAAGAGAUUAAUUUACAGAAAAUAAAGCCAAGGGUUCAGAAAAAAGUGCAAAGAGAAUAAAGGAACGUCUGAGCUAUUUAAAGCUUCAUGGAAAGUUGAAGGCUCUCCAUAUUUUGUUAGAAGAUAGUAUGCAACAUUGAUCUCUGUGACAUACUCCGAGUGCCACGUUGGCGGUCGUCUCUCACGAGUUGACCGACGAAUUUCUUGAGCCUCGGACUCGACUAGUUCUUGUUCCUCGUGCUCUGGUGCUGCUUCAGAAGAAUUUGAAUCUUUUGAAUUAUUUUUCACAUAUACCGGUACAGUCUCUGACUUUUCUUUUACAGUGCUAUCAUCCUCAUCUUUCCUUUGCAAUUGAUCUUCUAUAAAAAUAACAUCUCUGCUGAUGACGAUCUUGUGGGCAGUGGGAUCCCACAGACGAUACCCUUUUACUCCAUCAGCAUAUCCCAAGAAGAUACAUCUUCUAGAUUUUGCAUCCAGUUUUGUUUUUUCUUGAGCAUUGUACAUCACGUACACAGGACAUCCAAAUGUAUGUAGGUAGGAAUAAUCAGCUGGCUUUCCAGUCUAUAUCUCCAUCGCUGUCUUCAGCCCAAUUACUGUAGAUGGUGAUCGAUUUACUAUAUAACAGGCAGUUUUGGCUGCUUCUACCCAAAAUGAAUUGGGUAGACCAGCAGUCCUCAACAUAGCUCUUAUCCGUUCUGUAAUAGUUCUAUUCAUCCGCUCUGCCACUCUAUUUUGUUGAGGAGUGUAUGCCACCGUGAACUGUCUCUGAAUACCUUCUUGCUUACAGAAAACAAGAAACUCGCCGUCUAUAUACUCUCCACCAUUAUCUGUCCUCAAGCACUUGAUCUUUUUACCAGAUUCAAGUUCUACCGUGCUUUUAAACACUGGAAAUACAUCUGACUUUUUCUUAAUUGGAUACACCCAACAUCUUCUGGAAUAAUCAUUAAUGAAAGUCACCAUGUACUUUGCACCUCCCAUGGAUAUAUCCGGUGAUUCCCAAAUAUCAAAAUGAAUCAAGUCUAUAAUGCAUUUACUUCUAGCAAUAGAUCUACUGAAUUUUAAUUUAUGCUGCUUACUUGUAACACAAUGCUCGCAAAAUGGUAAACUUACCGAUUUGAGCCCCGGAAGCAAUUUUCGCUCAAAGAGAAUCUUCAAUCCUUGUUCUGACAUGUGGCCAAGUUUGAGAUGCCACAUCAUCGUUGACUCUUCUCCAUUUGACGCGACACAUGCAUCAGCCUCUUGUAGUGUUUCUCCUUUAAGCAUGAAUAAAUUAGCACCGAUCUUUUCUGCCUUCAUCAAUACAAACGCACCUUUAACGAUCUUCAUAAUUCCAUUCUCCACAUGAGUUUUGUACCCAUGACUAUCCAUUUGUCCCAAAGGUAAAAGAUUUUUCUUCAGGCCGUUGACAUGUCGUACCUCCCUAAUUGUGCGAAUUGUACCAUCAAACAUUUUUAUUUUGAUAGUACCAAUACCAACGAUCUCCAAGGCAUGAUCAUUACCCAUAUAUACAGAUCCUCCUGAGAUAGGUUCAUAUGUGUGGAACCAUUCUCUCCGAGAGGUCAUGUGUCAGGUAGCUCCUGAGUCUAUAAGUCAGACAUCAGAUAGUCGUUUUCUGCCUUCUAAAACAGUUGUUGCCUCGCUGUAGAGAAUUUCGCCAUCAUCCGAGGUACUUACGACACAACCCUGAGCAUUUGAUGACUUAGGUUCUUUGCCCACUCUUGUCUUCUAAUUACUCCAACACUCUUUCUUGACGUGCCCUUUCUUGCCACAGUUGUAGCAUUUAACAUUCUUCUUACUUCUAGAUUUUGAUCUACCAUGAUUUUGACUCCCAUUGGGGCCACGUUCCGUUGAUCUCCCUCUCGUCACCGAUAGCGCCUCCGCUUGCUGCGAACUUGCUUGUCUGUUUUUCUUAUUUUUUCGUCUGCUUUCCUCAUUUAAUACAGAGGCUGCAACAUCGUCGAAAACUAGACUGUCCACUGGAUUGCUGUUCGUUAGGUUGAUGAUGAGUUGAUCAUACGAAUCUGGUAGACUUUGAAGUAGAAGCUCUGCACGUUCAUUCUCCUCUAUAUUAUGACCCAACGUUGUAAGUUGUGAAAAUAGAGUCUUCAAGGUGUUGAUGUGAUCGGUUACCAUUAUAGAUUCCGCCAUUUGAAGAGUAUAAAGUUUCCUCUUCAAGAAGAUUUUGUUGUGUAGUGACUUGGCCUCGUACAAUUUUGUGAGAGUAUCCUAAAUUUCCUUCGCUGUAUUUUUCUUUGCCACACUGGAUAAUACUCCGUCUGCAAGUGCCAAGUGUAGAUCAGAAAUGGCAUUGCCAUCUAUCUCGUUCCACUUGUCAUCAGUUAUCUCCAUGGGCCUUUCUCCAAUUGCUUCCAAGUAAUUAUUUUUCCUCAAUACAACUUUCAUCUUAAUUUUCCACAACGAAAAAUUAUUUUCGUUAAAUUUCUCAAUUUCAUACUUUGCUGUCAUUUUGUUGAUAAAUAUUGUACACAAACUAGUGUAUCACCUUGAAUAGUUGUGAGUAUGUGUAAGAAUGCACACCAGAAAAGUUCCUAGGAAAGACUGGAGGGGUCACAAUAGUCCCACUUAAAACUCAGACUCCUUAAGCUCUUAUCGCCUUUGUGACAGAACUUUCCUAGACAUGUAUAAAACCACACAAUUGCUUUACUCACACCACUAUUCCCUGCUUUGUACCGCCAAAUUCUUCGAUCGCUCCCACCGUUUCACGUGAAUAGUACUGUAUACGUGAACAGUACCGUGUACGUGAAUAGUAUCCCUUACGUGAACAGUACCCAACUCUAAAAAAUACAAUAAAUAGCUCUGAUACCACUGUUAGGAAAUUGGUGGGUGAAGCAGGACCGCAGCUAAUAUGAAAUUGGAAGAAAAUAAAGAACAAGGACAAAAAGAGGAUACCAGAAAUUACGUGGUUCGGCUUUUAACCUACGUCCACGGGCGAAAACAGAAGGAAAUAUUUUACUCGUAAAAAGGAGUUACAAGUAUUGUAGUAUUUUAGCUCACUUUCCAAAAUCCCAAUACACCCAAACUCUCAAAACACUAAAACAAGAGCUUAUAAUUUCAAGCUCUCUAAACUCUCUCUAAAUACAAGAAAACUCUUCUCAAAAUUGGAUAAGCAAAUGAGGGAAUGAGCCCCUCUAUUUAUAGCCAAAAUCUUGGCUACUAUUCACUUUUUUUUAAAAAUUAUUUAUUAUUGUUCAAAAUUUCAACAUUCAAAGUUUGAUAUUCAAACUUUGAAUAUCUAGAAUUUUGAAUUUGAUAUUCAAAGUUUGAAUAUCUAGAAGUUUGAAUUUGAUAUUCAAAGUUUGAAUAUCAAGACACCCAAUCUUGACACUAAAUUCACCAGACUGACAACUGGGGCAUAUAGAAGAGCGAAAUAACUGGGACAUAUACAAGAGUGAAAUGUUUAGAGCACGCUAAGUUCGAGUGAAAGAGAUUAAUUUACGGAAACUGAAGCCAAGAGAAUAAAGGACAACACUUACGUGAAGCGACAUAAUUGUAUUGAAAGCACAAUGUCAAAUUCAUACGGAGAUCUAGUAUAUUAUUUACAGCUGGUGAGGGCUAAGAAUUGAUGUAGCUAGAAUACAAAGACGAUAAGGUAUGUUGUGCACUAUUGUUUUAUUCUACGAUCAAUCUUGACCCUUGAUGCUUGGCUCUCAAUCUUGUCCAUUGAUCUUCUUUGAUUUUGGACACUUCAAGACCUUUCAGUAUCAUUCCUUGUUGUUGGUGUCUUCCGUGCUGUAGAAUUCAUAUACAAGCCUUCCCGCCGACUUGCCAAGUAUUCGUUCAUUGAUGCAUUUUUAUCAAACAGCUGGGCUACUUAUGCCAAACACCGCCUGGUUUAACUCCCCCUCUCUAGCUCAACUAUCUGGGAAGACAAUUAAUUGAGAUAUGAAUCAGAAAAUUAAAUUUUAAAAAUUGUAUUCGGACUCUACAUUUUGUAAUGAACAUUGGUUUGACUUGUUAUACAUUUAUGCGUACAUAAUUAAUAACCGAUUCUCAAGUGCGGACAUUCAAGAGCACUGCUUAAAGACCAAAUAUUUUGAUUUACUAUUUUUUGUCUUUCAAUUUUCUUUUAAGUUCUGAUGACGUCCGCAUUUUAAAAUCCUGUGGAACAAAGGCCUGACGUGCAUAUAAAAUUCUUUUAUUUUUUCAGAGGAAAAUGGGUUAGAGAAGAAGAUUUGGCAAAAGAAUUGCAACGGCAUUUGAAACUAGUCUUCGUCUUUUAAUUCUUUUAUAUUUGUUUUUGUUAUUGAUGUUAGCUUGGAUGUGAACCCGUGUGACUGAAUUCAACUUAUAUUUGUUUUUGUUAUUGUUAUUAAUUUUAUUUGUUUUUGUUAAAUUGGACCACCAACAAGGGCGGUCCAUUAUCAAAUCAACACGGUUUAAUUAUUAUUAUUUCUACACUUUUUUUAUGAACAAAUAUAAAAUAAAAGGACAUUUACACCCUCAAUUUUAGUGAAAUAGUCAUUAACACCCCUAAAUUUUUAAAAGUAGACAUCAAGAUCAUUUUUUUACCUUAAUACUCUUAUACGGUACCUCUAUUAUUCCCAAAAAUUGAUUCUAAUGUUUUAUAAUAAAUAAAAAUAAAACAUUAAAAUAAAUGUAAUAACAUAUAUAUUUUAAAAUAAUUUCAAUAUUUAAAAAAUAUUUUUAACAUUUUACAAUCUAUUAACUAUAUUUUAUUAUAUUGAAGUAAAUUUUAUAAUAAAUAGAAUCAUAUUAUUAAAAUAAAUGUAUUAAAAUUUAAAUGAUUUUGAAUAUCAUGUACAAUAAUAAUUUUAACAUUACUAAUAUGUCAGAUUUUUUUUUAAGAAUGUAUUUAGUGCAAAUAUUUCUUUCAAAUCUCCACAAUAAAUAAAAGAUUAAAAUAAAUAUAAUAAUUUACAUAUCUAAAUUUAUUAAAAUAUUUUAAUAUUGUUAGUCUACUGCAUAGAUCACAAUAUUUAUAUAAUAUUUGUAUUUAUUAAAAACUUUAAAAUCAAUUCUUUUGAGAAUAAUAGAGGUAAAGGGUAUAAUGGUCAAAAUGGGGACUUUGUACUCCUUUUUGAAAACUUGAAGGUGUUGGUGGCUAUUUUUCCAAACCUUCAGGGUGUAGAUGUCAUUUUUCCACAAAUAUAUGAGAAAAUUAUCAAGAAAUACAGUAUCUGAACUCUGAAGUAACAAGGAUCACCUUUUAUGAAAUCGAUUGCUUUUCAUGAUAGACUGUUACUAUUUUUCUACAAUAGAUUGAAUUUAGUAAAAAAUUGAUUAAGAUGUCUACUCAUGGAGAGUGAAAUUUAUGUUCAAUACUAAUUUCAACAUGCAUGCACCACCGAACGUGUUUCUCACGGAAAAGUUGCUUGGAUUUUUGGGACUUCCUGUUCAAAUAUUCAACACGGCAUGCACCACGCGAUUGAACAUGCAAAAGUAGGGGUCUAUUAUCAUUUCCAGCAUUAUAGAAAUCUUAAUUUUGUUCAUUAUUUAUUUUGAUCAGCACUGUUGAAUCUCCAUGUAUUGCCAAUCACUGGGAAACAACAUAUUCUUAUUAAUUAUAUCCUCUAAUGGAGAGAACUCAUUGUCUCAGUGUAAGAUCACUGUGUCAUUAACCCACAGCCUGCUGAUUUGCUUGGUUGCUGCAGCAAGCAAAAAUAUUACCACAGAUCAAAAAGCUCUUCUUGCCCCAAAAGAUCACAUAACUUAUGCUCCAACCAAUCUUUUGACCGAAAAUUGGACCUCAAAUACCUCUGUUUGUACGGGGAUUAGCAUCACUUGUGAUGUCAAUAGCCGCAGCCUUGGAUAUUUCUCAAUUCAAUCUACAAGGCACCAUUAUUCCAAACACAACUGGUAAUUUAAGAAACCUUAAGUGGCUCGGCUUGGCUUAUAAACUACUUGACAUCUUCAACUUCAAAAUUGAGCUUUCUUUCCUCUUUGGCAAAUUGCAAAAAAUUAAGAAUCUUAGGCUUACUGGAAAUCCACUUGACCGUAUCCUCUCACGUUCAAUAGGUAAUCUUUCUAUGUCUUAGGAAAGAUUUCACGUCGCCAAUUGCAGCAUUAGUGGCAGAAUUCCUCAAGUAAUCAGCAAUUUAAGCAACUUGUUGGCAGUUGUGCAAAAUUUUAAUAUACUCGCAAGUGCACGAAUCUAGAAAUAGAAUAAUGGUAAUGAGGUCAAACCCAUAGGGAUUGUUUUAAAAUGACAAAAGAAUAGCUGCUGGUCUAGAGGUGGCUUACUACAUUCAUACAAGAUCGUUUCUUGUUCUCUAAGAUGUGCAUUAUACUAAUAAUGCUAUACAAACUUAUCCAAAGGUCUAUUAAUUAAUUCAUUAAUCCAACGGCUUGUUAGGUUGUCCUUUCAUCCAUACAGCUGCAUGCUUGUCUUCAUAUACACUGAUCUUAUCCUCUAGAUCUGUUCAGGCUGAGUGAUCUCUCACAUUUGCCAUAUCAGAAGAUUACAUGCCAGUAAUGUCAUGUGAUGACCUGUUGCUUGGUGAUGUCGAAUGCCUGGCCUUUACUUCUCUGAGCAAAUUGAUCAAACAAUUUGUUCAUUUUAUCGAACACCUUCACCAACUAACAUUUUAUUUACUUUGGAUGGUUUUUAAGUGCAUUUAAUGAUUAUUUUUGCUCCAACUUCAGAUAAACCAAACGCCAGUAUAUUAGAAGAAGAAGUUAACUGGCAGCUAACCAGGUCAAAAUAGCGACUCUAUAUAAAAAAAAUAUAUAAAAUAAAAAAAUGGGACUUUAUUUAAUUAAUUGUUGGUCUAAAGCUGUUGGUAUCCGUUGGCCACGUUUCUGAAGAGUCAUCUCAAAUCGAAAUUUUUAACGAACAAAGGACAUUGCUGCUGGCUGCCGCCCGUGAGAUAAAAGUGCUAAAAUCCAAAAUGUUCCACCAUCAUUUAUUCUAAUUUUAAUUUUCCAAUGGAAAAAAUUACAUAAUUAAAAUGGCUUCUAAUAUCAUUUCCACACCUCAAUAUGUGUCACUAUCAUAAAGUUGUUCUCAUGAUUCAUGGAAAAUUUGGAUUACAGCACCUGUACUUUCUGAUGGUUCAUUAUUUAUUCUCAGGAAUCGAGUCUCCUUACAUUACCAAACUAAUAACAAACAGGAAUCUUUUAUCCUUUCACGGUGAGAAAUUACAGUCUUCGUAUGAUCGCAGUGCCAUUAACCCACUGCCUGCUUCUUUACUUGGUUGUUGCAGUAGCAGCAGCAAGCUACAUUACCACAGACCAACAAGCUCUUCUUGCCCUGAAAGCUCAUAUAAGUUAUGAUCCAACUAAUCUUUUGGCUCAAAAUUGGACCUCAAAUACCUCUGUUUGUAACUGGAUAGGCAUUACUUGUAAUGUCAAUAGCCAUAGAGUUACAGCAUUUGGAUGAAUUUUUAUUGAAACCUUUCUGAGAAGUAGGACAUGUCAGACAUCAAAGCACUGAGAUAUCUUCAAAUAGUGGUAACCCCACUCAUCAAGGCACAAUAAAUUAUACAGAUAAAAUCCUCCACUCUUUCGUAAUCAUCGGUGUAGGCACGGUGAUGCGUCGGACAGAUAUGGGUCGGAUCCACUCCAGCUCCAUAUCAAGAUUCAUAAACCAUGACAAAAAUAGAGAAUCAUAGGUGUUGCAGAUAGUGAUGGUUGUUGAUGCACUCGUAAUUUAAAAUUUUAUUUUAUAUCUUCAAGUUCGCAUUUUAAGUGUACAUUUUUUUUUUAUUUUGUGAUCAAUAUAACUUGUCAAAUCUAUUUUUAAAUAAUUUUUUAAAACAUUUUAUUAACAAUGAUAUGAAAAUAUUCGACCCCUUUUCAUAGUAAAGUGAAUUAUUAUCCGACAAUCCAACUCAUGUUUUCAAAUUGUAAAUUGCAAAUCGUGUGUUUGCUCCUGUUAGAGUGCAAUUUAUGCACUAGUUUUGCAUUGUUUACUUCCCUUAAUAUCGAUGUUUUGCACUUAAUAAUAAUGAUUUACUUGUGUUUUACUUUUGUAGGUGCAAUUCUAUUGAUUUGUGAUAAAAUUGAGCUAUAAGAUGAUGUUUAAAGAUGAUUGUUCUCUUGGAGAAAUGAUGAGCGUCAGAAGAACUUUGUUGAUAAGGCGUGAGCGCGUGCUGUCAACUACGGGCCUGCUGUUUUUAGUUUAACGUGUUUUGUAUUUUUGGUUAUUUUUGUAAUUACGAAUUUAAUAUUUCAGAUAUUAGUAUUUUAUUUUAAAUAGAAUUCUAGAGGAGAAGAGAGAGAGAGUAUUUAAGGGAGGAAUCUAUUGUGAAAAAAGGGGAUUUUGGAUUGGAGGAAAAGAAAAGAAACCCUAGAUCUAAUUUUUCUCUUCUCUCUAUGAAGAACUAAACUUAUUUUUCUGGUUGAAGGAUAAUGAAGCUUUGAUUCAUCACUACUGUGAGAUCUUUCUUGUGCUUUAAUUGUUUUAUUGCUUUUUGGGUAUUUGUUUAUUCUCUGAAUUAUUUUCAUGAUUAUGUUUGUUAAUUAGAUAAUUGGCCACUAUUUAAUUAUCAACUUAAUCUAUUGUUAAUUAAAGGAUUUAUCGUAUGAAGAAUUUAAUGUUUGUGACAAAUAACAUAGCAGAGAGUUGUGUUGUGAGAAUAAACAAUCUAAUUUAAAUGAAUCAUCAUAUGUGUUGAUUAGGAUUUAGGUCUCUCUGGUUUUUCAGGCUGUCAAUUGAUUAAAUCCUAUGAUCGUAUCUAGGGUUGUCCAUUGAUUAGGGAAAUAUCCAACGGUCGUACCUUGGUUAUCGACUAAUUAAGGAGAGAUUGGCUAUUAGAGGGUCUCAGUAGCUAUAACCGGUCUAUUCAUAAGUAAUAAUAAUUUAUAUUUGAAUCAAUGAUCAGUAGUCGAAUCAAGCUGAGUUAAUUCCUUCAACCGGAGCUUUCUCCAAUUUGAAUUACAACUUUAAUUUGCAUUCUUGUUAUUUUAAUUUGAUUUUUAUUAUUGUCAACAAUUCCCCCAUUUUACGUUUUACGUUUCAAAAGGAUUUAAAUAAUUACCGAUCUCUGUGGACACGACCCUGCUCAAUCACUAUACACAAUUUAUUUAGAGUAGGAAUUUAUUUUUGUUGGCUUCGACAACCAUCAAAUUUUGGCACUGUUGCCGGGGAUUGGUGUCAUUUAUUUAAUCCUUUUUACGUUUUACUUGGUGUAUGAUUCGUUCUUCUCGUACAGGUACACUUUCGUUUGAUCCUGAAAUUGAGAAGAUAGCUCGCCACCUGAGACAGCAGACGAAGCGAGCUAAGCAACGAUCCUCGUCACCUUUGCUUUCUGAAACAGAUACGGUGCUUGAUUUAGUUGAAUCAUCUAGCGAUUCGGAAGAACAAGUGAUGGAUAGAGUUGCACCUGUAGAAAGAACUCUUAGAGAGUUAGCUGAACCAGACUUGAAUCAACAACCACUCUGCAUUCAAUAUGUAGACUUGGAGGUAAAUUUUGAAUUAAAGUCUGGUCUUAUUCAUUUAUUACCCAAGUUUCGUGGUUUUGCAGGUGAAGAUCCUCAUAAACAUCUUAAGGAGUUUCAUGUUGUGUGUUCAAGUAUGAGGCCACAAGGCGUGACUGAAGAGCAGAUUAAGCUGCGUGCUUUUCCGUUCUCUGUAGAUGGGCUAGCUAAAGACUGGUUGUACUACUUGCCUCCUGGAUCGAUUACAACGUGGAAUGGUUUGAAGAAGCAAUUCCUCGAGAAGUACUUUCCUACUUCAAGAGCUGCCAACAUCAGAAAAGAUAUUUGUGGGAUCAGACAACUUCCUGGGGAGACUUUGUAUGAGUAUUGGGAGCGAUUUAAACAAUUGUGUGCCAGCUGUCCUCAGCAUCAGAUUUCUGAUCAACUUCUUAUUCAAUAUUUUUACGAAGGACUGUCAUUGAUGGAUAGGAGUAUGAUAGAUGCUGCUAGUGGAGGCGUGUUGGUGAACAAGACCCCUACUCAAGCAAGGGAGCUGAUAUCAAAUAUGGCUGCCAAUGCACAACAAUUUGGCAGCAGGCAAGAUCCCACUUCAAGGAAGGUAAAUGAGGUAAAUAUUUCUUCUGUUGAACAACGUUUAGAUAAACUUACUUCUCUUGUGGAAAAGUUUGUUGUAGGUAAUGUGCAACAUAUGAAGACUUGUGGCAUUUGUUACAAUAUGGGUCAUUCAAUUGAUAUGUGUCCUACACUUCAAGAAGAACCCGUUGAACAAGCCAAUGCAAUUCAAGGAUUUCCAGGCAUGCCUCAGAGGAGGUAUGAUCCUUAUGCACAAACAUACAAUCCGGGAUGGAAGGAUCAUCCCAACUUCAGCUAUGGAGUUAGGCCGUCAGGAUUCCCACAACAGUAUCCACCAAGACAACCAGCACCUCCACAGUCAAACUCCAAGUCAGGUAUAUCUCUUGAAGAAAUUGUUAAAUCACUUGCGACUAACACUCAACAAUUUCAGCAGGCAACUACAGCAAGCAUUCAGAAUUUGGAGAACCAAAUGAGUCAAUUGGCGAUUACAGUGAGCCGUCUGGAGUCUCAAGUAUUAGGGAGAUUGCCUUCACAAUCUGAGGUGAAUCCAAAGCAAAACAUUAGUGCUGUCAUCCUUAGAAGUGGGAAGGAGUUGCAAGAGCCUAGUAAGAAAGUGACAAAGCAUGUAGAAGAUGAGUUUGAGAAGAAUGAAUUGAUGCCUCAAUCUCAAGAUGUGGAACCCACCAGAGCGAAACCCCUACCUAUUGUGAUACCUCCUCCUUUUCCAAGCCGGUUUGCAAAAUCCAAGAAGGAGGAACAAGAGAAAGACAUCCUUGAGACAUUUCGCAAGGUUGAGGUAAAUAUUCCUUUAUUAGAUGCUAUAAAACAAAUACCUCGAUAUGCUAAAGUCCUUAAGGAACUGUGCACCUCCAAGAGAAAAUUAAGAGGAGAUGAAAAAGUUCACAUGGGGGAGAAUGUUUCAGCAGUUCUCCAAAAGAAACUACCUCCUAAGUGCAAGGAUCCAUGUAUGUUUACUAUCCCUUGUAAAAUUGGUAGUGUUAGAAUUGAAAAGGCUUUGUUAGAUCUAGGAGCUGCUAUUAAUGUCAUGCCUCGUUCCAUUUAUUCAUCUUUAAAUUUGGUCCAUUAAAAGAAACUGGCGUGAUAAUUCAACUAGCUGAUAGGUCUAAUGCAUAUCCUGAUGGGGUAUUAGAAGAUGUCUUAGUACAAGUUAAUGAGUUGGUUUUUCCUGCUGAUUUUUAUGUACUUGAUAUGGAAGAGGAUAACUCCUCUAAUUCUGUCCCAAUUUUGCUAGGAAGACCUUUUCUUAAGACUGCUAGGACUAAAAUGGAUGUACAUAAAGGGACUCUUACUAUGGAGUUUGAUGGAGAGGUUAUAGAAUUCAAUAUGAAUGAUGCCAUGAAAUAUCAUAGUGAGGAACAUUCGGUAUUUUCUGUAGAUGUUAUUAACCCGAUAGUGCAGGAAGUUAUUUACAAGGAAAAAACGACGACAUUUCAUGAUAGAAUGAUUUUGUGAAAGGAGUUCUCUGUUGGUCAAAAAGUUCUUCUUUUUCAUUCUAAGCUUAAACUUUUUUCGGGUAAAUUACGUUCUUGCUGGGUUGGACCUUUUAUUGUUACUAAUAUUUUUCCUCAUGGUGCAGUUGAGAUUCGGAGUCCGACCUCUGACAAAGUUUCUAAGGUUAAUGGUCAUCGCUUAAAACCUUUUUAUGAAGGUUUUUCGGUGAAUAUUGUGGAGGAUGUGGCUCUCGAGAGUCCCAAUUAUGGAGAUUGAUGCAUAAAUGUGUCUAGCCAAAGACAUAAAACAAAGGCGCUUUUUGGGAGGCAACCCAAAUGAUUUAUUUAUUUUGGUUUUUGUUAUAUCUUCUUUUAAUUUUGAUUCUUUUUUUUUUUAAUGUGUUUGCUUAUUUUGGUCAGAAUAAAAUUUUUGAUAAGGCGUGUCCACGUCUUAACUAAUAAGUACUUCUGUGAUUUUUAAAGUAAAAUGGUUUUAAGGUGUGCCCACGUGCUUAUUAAAAAAGUGCAUCUGAAAUUUUUGUUGUCUCAAAGUGAUUCAUCACAAAAAUAAAAAAAAAAUUAUUUAUUUAUUAUUUUUUUUUCUAUUUAUUUUUUUUUAAAAAAACGAAAAAAAAAGGAGAUUUUCUUUUGUUCUUUCUUUUAUAUAUUUAUUUAUUUAUUUAUAAAAAAAAUUCAAAAAAUCACUGUUAAAAAAAAAAAUUUACUGUUCAUAAAAUCCCUAAUUUUCCAGAACUUGUUUUCUUCUCCAACCGCUUGCAGCACACCAGCAGCAAAGCAGCCCGCCGGAAAACGCACCACCCCGCGCGCGCAGCACCAGCAUCGAGCACCAUCCCGCGAGCGCAGCACCAGCAUUCUGUGUCUCGCAGCCCAGCAGCGCGCAACGAAGUCCCACCAGCGCGCAACGCAGCCUCACCAGCGCGCAACGCAGCCCCAACGCACAGCAAACGAGCACGCCCCGCAACGCAGAUCCGCAGCUCUAGCCCGCCCGCGCAGCGCAAAUCAAUCCAGCCAUCACCAUCGCGCAGCGCAUCGGUCCCGCGCGCGCAACGCAACGCAGCAUCAGCAUCCCACGUCCAGCGAGCAGCAACCCGCGCGCGCAGAUCUAGUCUUCGCCCAGCAGCGCGCAGAACCAGCGUCAGCCUAGCUCUCGCGCGCAACACAGCCCACGCAGCACGCAGAUCUAGUAGCCCCAGCGCGCGCGCACAACACAAUCAGCGCCAUCCCGCGUCCAUCAAGCAAGCUCCAGCCGAGCAGCAAUCGCAACGCAACCAACGUACGACCUAUAUUCCAGCUGGAUAAAUCGAAAUCCGUGAGUGCAAUUAUUGUAACAAUGCCGAAGAGAAAAGCAUCAACUUCCAAGUCAUCUAAAAAGACACCCGUCGCAAAUAAAUCCAAGAUUGCCGGUCCCACUACGGUUCCUUGGAACACAAUUUCAGAUUCACGCCAAGCCGUGAGACAAAGCUCGAAACAUGGAAAAGGCAUGAGUGUUUUGCCACUUGCAGAAUCCAAUCUUGGAGGGUGCCUCGCAUUCGCGACUCAACAAGAGAAAGAGAGGUACAAAGAUAUUUUCACGCACAAAAUACUUCCAGCUAAGUAUAUUCCUUACCUGACUCUUGAAAAAUUGAAUGUUAAGGAUAAUUUUGAUUCUUUGAUAGAUAAGAUUGGGUUGCGUAAGUUUGUUGAUGUUGAUUGUUUGGGUUAUGUUGAGUUGAUUAGGGAGUUUUAUGCUACUUUUCAAUUUAAUAUGUCGAAUGAUUUUACUUUGCAUACCCCGGAUGUCAUAAAGUUUAGGUUAAUGGGACGAAAUUUUUCACACUCUAUCACGGAUUUUAACCUAGCUUUAGGAUUCAUUGAUGAUGAUUAUUCUUCUAGUGAUGCAUAUUUAGGAACAACUUGUGACUUUAGCGAAAAUUUUGAGCCUUAUGGUCUUUGCCGUAAUUUAUCUGUUGAUCACAAUGCUUAUGACCCAAGUAAAUCAAAGAGUUCUUUCUUACGUGAUCCUGUUUUGAAAUGUGUGCAUCGAUUCUUAGCAUAUAAAUUUUUAGGCAAGAAAGAUCACUCAGGAGUUUUCUCUAAAACUGAAUUUUAUUUUAUCUGGUGCAUGUUAAAUGAUGUGAGGCCUAAUUUAGGUUUUUGGUUAGCGGAUUAAUUUCAAAGUGUGCUUAAACGGUAUAUGACUUUAUUUCUUGGUCCAUACAUUACUCUGUUAGCUGUAAACCUACCUAUGUGUGCUUGAUCUUGACAAUAAUGAUUUGCAUCUUGCUUGAUUUUUGGAUAUGUCUGAGUUUGAAAGAACAGGUGUGGUCGAAUUCAAGGAGGGGAGAUUUCAGUUUACUGAACCAGCACCCACUCAACCUCCGAAGAAGCUUUAUGCUAGAAGUGGUGCUACCUCUGAUGACGAGUUUGACGACGACACUGCUGCCCCGCCAACUAUUCCUUCUACAUCCGCACCACCUUUGAGCAUUCAGUUAGAGAAAAUGGAGCACAAGCUGCACAAGAUGGAGCAGAAUUUGGCCGCACACUUCGAGAGUGUGGGAUUUACCCCACCAUUUCCGCCAAGCCCAUAGACGUUAUGUGGAUCAAAGUUCACAAUUCAGGGAAGUUUCUUUUUGCCCUUAAUCUUUUAUCCUUACGCUUUAAUUUUUGUGUGAGCUUUGAUUAUCUUACAUUGGGGACAAUGUAAGUUCUUGGUGUGGGGGAGGGAUUUUUGCAUUAUUGAUGUCUGAAAUUAUUGUUUUCACUCUACUCAUCCUUAAAUGAUUUUGGAGUUAGUAUGCUUUAUAUAUUAUUAAUUUUCUUUUCCUUUCUCUCUCACUACUCUUUUCCCAUCUAUCUCAAAUUAUUUACAUCUAUUUUUUUUUCUAUCAUACUCUUUCAUCACUCACAUUUUAUCUUUCAUUUUUUUUACUACAUACAUCUUUCUCGCUUAUUAUCCUUUUUACCUUUCCUUUUAUAUCUCACUCAUACCUUCUUCUCAUUCUACACCACUAUUGAUGGUUGAUUCGUUUGAAGAGUGUACAGGAUUUGAUGGCAAAUUUACCAACUUUGUGAGGAUUUAAGCCUAUGAGCAACCACUUUGCUCUAAUUAUUUUUUGUUAUGUGAAUAUCAAUCCUAGUUUGUUUAUUCUAGAACUUGCUUUGUUAUGCAUGUUGAAGCCACAUUACGGGAUUUUAUGCAUUAAAAUGAUAAGGGCAAACCCUUUUCUAUUUUUCUAUUCUCCCAUUUUUUUUUCUCUAUCCGAAGACCUUUAUUUGCUAUCUUGGUUUGAGCCUUAACCAUUACCCAUCUAAUUCUCUCCGUCUACUUAACCAUUUUUCUUCUUUUUGAGCCUCAAUUUAAUGAGAUUUUUUUUGGACUCAUUGUGUGGAUAUAUUUUGUUGCUUUUUCUACCUUGUAUUAAAGUUUCUCAAUUAGAUCAACAAGCAUUAUGCUUGAAUUGAAUUGUGCAAGGUUCGUUUCUUUUGUUUGAUUCAAAAACAAAAAAAAAAAGAAAAAGAAAAAGAAAAAGAAAAAUCGAAAAAAAAAGAAAAAAAAUGUUUACAUUCUUGGUGACAUGAGUAGAAAUAAGCAUUUUGAUAUCAUAAGUUCAUUCAAUGAGUUCAUUCUUCUCAUUUUGAUCUCUUUUUCUUUCGUAAACCUUUCUUUUUCAUUCAACCUAUUUAACCCCAUUACAACCCUUUUAAGACCCUUAGAUUUUUGCAUUUUAUUCAUGUUUUGUGGAUUGAGAUGUGAUAUAUGAGCAAGCUUAUGGUAAUAGCAUUCUUUGAUUUGAUUUGAGUGAAUAAAUGACACCCUAAAUACUUUGAGUGCAUGGAGUGAAGUUAUUGAGAGGGCUAUUAAAUAUUGUUGCACUUGAAUUUUGAAUGGAUCUUCUUGGUGGUUGAAUGUUCUUAUUCUAUCUUAUGAAAUUCUAUGCUUUAAAAUCCUUGUCUCUAGAAUGUUGAUCGACUUAAUUUCUUGAGGUAUGCUUGCCUAAAAUUGUUUUUGGAUGAGUUGAGAUGAGAAUUGAGUGGAACUUUGGGAUUAAUCUUGAGUUAUAUGCUUGAGGACAAGCAUCAUCUUGGUGUGGGGGAAUUUGUUAGAGUGCAAUUUAUGCACUAGUUUUGCAUUGUUUACUUCCCUUAAUAUCGAUGUUUUGCACUUAAUAAUAAUGAUUUACUUGUGUUUUACUUUUGUUGGUGCAAUUCUAUUUAUUUGUGAUAAAAUUGAGCUAUAAGAUGAUGUUUAAAGAUGAUUGUUCUCUUGGAGAAAUUAUGAGCAUCAGAAGAACUUUGUUGAUAAGGCGUGGGCGCGUGCUGUCAACUACGGACCUGCAGUUUUUAGUUUAACGUGUUUUGUAUUUUUGGUUAUUUUUGUAAUUAUGAAUUUAAUAUUUCAGAUAUUAGUAUUUUAUUUUAAAUAGAAUUCUAGAGGAGAAGAGAGAGAGAGUAUUUAAGGGAGGAAUCUAUUGUGAAAAAAAGGGAUUUUGGAUUGGAGGAAAAGAAAAGAAACCCUAGAUCUAAUUUUUCUCUUCUCUCUAUGAAGAACUAAACUUAUUUUUCUGGUUGAAGGAUAAUGAAGCUUUGAUUCAUCACUACUGUGAGAUCUUUCUUGUGCUUUAAUUGUUUUAUUGCUUUUUGGGUAUUUGUUUAUUCUCUGAAUUAUUUUCAUGAUUAUGUUUGUUAAUUAGAUAAUUGGGCACUAUUUAAUUAUCAACUUAAUCUAUUGUUAAUUAAAGGAUUCAUCGUAUGAAGAAUUUAAUGUUUGUGACAAAUAACAUAGCAGAGAAUUGUGUUGUGAGAAUAAACAAUCUAAUUUAAAUGAAUCAUCAUAUGUGUUGAUUAGGAUUUGGGUCUCUCUGGUUUUUCAGGCUGUCAAUUGAUUAAAUCCUAUGAUCGUAUCUAGGGUUGUCUAUUGAUUAGGGAAAUAUCCAAUGGUCGUACCUUGGUUAUCGACUAAUUAAGGAGAGAUUGGCUAUUAGAGGGUCUCAGUAGCUAUAACCGGUCUAUUCAUAAGUAAUAAUAAUUUAUAUUUGAAUCAAUGAUCAGUAGUCGAAUCAAGCUGAGUUAAUUCCUUCAACCAGAGCUUUCUCCAAUUUGAAUUACAACUUUAAUUUGCAUUCUUGUUAUUUUAAUUUGAUUUUUAUUAUUAUCAACAAUUCUCCCAUUUUACGUUUUACGUUUCAAAAGGAUUUAAAUAAUUACCGAUCUCUGUGGACACGACCCUGCUCAAUCACUAUACACAAUUUAUUUAGAGUAGGAAUUUAUUUUUGUUGGCUUCGACAACCAUCAGCUCCAUUACAGAGUUUCAUCAAUUUGAAAUAGAGAAUCAUUUGUGUUCUAGAUUAAUCGAGGGUCUAUAUCCAAAUCUAAAAAUUGACUAACUUGGUUUCUAUUAAAUUCUUAAUCCUAACAAGAAAAAUAGAAGAUUAAAAAUGACUAAUUUGGUUUCUAUUAAUUUGAGUAACGAUCGAAUUACCUCAUUUAUUAAGAUUUAUCAAAAUCCUAUGUCAAAAUCCAUUAAUAAUAUAGGUUGGAUGAUGAAAUAGUCACUUAUUAUUAUUUUUGACUUCAUAAAUAGAUGAACGGAUGUUAUUUUUGGAUUCUGGAGAAUCCAAAAUAUCAGGAUAUGUGAUAAAUGGAAUUAAGUUGUAGAUAAGAUAGAAAUGGAUUUGGAGAGAGAUUGGAAUCCUGGGUAAUCCGGUGUACGUUGUUGUGUUGAAUGCUCGUUGACUUCACGUUGACUGACACAUUAUUGGAAGAAGUGAGCAAGCUUAUUUUCUUCUCUCAUUUUUAAAUUUGUCUAAGUUUAUUGAUGUGAGGCCUUUGAGAUUGUAAGUUUCAAAUCUGAGAAGAAUAACCACACACCCAUUAAUAAAUUUGUGAGGAUUGUGAGGGUUGAUGCAAUAUAAUUUAGAUGCAAAGUGUUUACAAGUACGAUGCUUCAUAAGUGUUCUUCAAUCAUUAUAAACUCACGUUAUUUUUAUAAUGAUUGUUUCAUCUGCACAUGGAUAUAAUCAUAUGUUGAGAUUUUUUCCUAAAUUAUGGUCUUAUUUGGUAUUGAGGUGUUAGAUCUUUUAAGAUACAAUUACUAUUGGAAAAAAUAGUGCAACUAUGAAAUAAAAGUUAAUAUUGUGUACUAAUUAUAAUUGUUAAAUAAUAAUUUUGACAAAAUUAGUGAAGAUAUAUAGUUUUUUUUUUAUCAUAUAAGUAUAAAAUCAAAUCAACUUAACUUCUAAACUAUAUAGCAGCUACUGCUUACCAAAUAUUUUAGUGCUGUAGCUUUUAAGUUAUAACUGCCUAACCUCAGUCUCAAACAAUGGCUAUAAAGAUCAAAGAUUUCCUCAUAAAAAUUAUACGUCUUGUGAUUGCUUAUUUAAUUUAUAUUUUUUUAUUUAUCUUUAUUAAUUACAAUCAUCUUUUAAUAAAUUACAAUUGGAGGAAGUUGAUGUUCGAAGUGCUUAUGUCGACUCGAAGUUGUUGGGAAUUAAUGCAUGUAUUGAUUUAUUGGGAGUGUUUAAAUGAUUUUGUGAUUUACUUGAUUGAUUGAUUGAAUAUUGUUUGAUUACUUUGUAUCCAUUCUAGAAAGUUUAUUUCUUUGUGAAAUUUCGACAAAAUAUGUUUUUCUUUUUAAAUAAUAAGGGUGUUUUAAGUAAUUUUUAAAAAUAAAUGGACUAACUAGAAUUAAUUAUUAGGUAACUAACUCGAACUGUACAAGGUAAGCGAACAUUUAUGCUGAUUAUAUCAUGAUAAAUCAUUUUCCGAUUAGAAUUAGGAAACCAUUAGCAUAUUGACUUUUUUUUUUUUUUUUUUCAAUCUCCCUUUGCGAAAACGGAUUACAGAAUUAGAAAACAAUCCUAAUGAUAUUAUUGUUAGGUUUAAAACACGGCAUAGAUAGUCAAAAGCUAACUAGUCUGCAGUAAUUUGUUAAUUGCUAUCGCCUCUCCAUGCGUGGUGAAUAAUUUGUUGCAUGCAAACUUUUUCCAUUUUAAAUAAACACAACGCGAUGUUUAUCUGCUCCGCGUUUUGCAAUCUGUUUAUUCGUUGUUUAUUUGCUUCGUAAGUCCUCAAACUUUGAUAACCAAAAAUUUCACCAAACUAUGAAAAUUAUUCUGCAGGUUAGUUUUUAUUUUCGGAAUAAUUAUUUGAGAAUACUAAAACACAAUAUAAAAUAAGAAAAUAGGGGGUUAAAAUUUGAAAAAAAAAAACAAAAGGGCAUGUUGGAUAGAUUACUGUGGUUUAAGAAAAAAAAUUAUUCAGUUGGGAAUUUUUUUUCUUUAAUUUUUGUUUUACUUAAUUGAGAUUUCUCCUUAAUCCUUACAGUUUUAAAUUUGGAUAACAUAGGAUUAGUAAUUUAGUACUUCCUUUGCAAGCUGAGGUUAAGGAUGAAAUUCUUUUAAGAAAAAAAGAUAAAAGAGCAUAACAAUAGUCAAUUAUAAAUAACCACAAAUAAAUACAAACAAAAUGUUUAUGAAGUAAAUUAAAAAUGCACAUAUUAUUUUUUAUUUUAUUUCUUACUAAUCUGUGUAUUUGCUGCUUGAAAAACCAUAAAUACACAGAUGACCAUUGGCUUCGCACCAUUUAAUCGGGAUACAUUUCUACGUACAAACUGAACAAGGCUAUUGAUUUUUAUUUAUUUAUAAAUUACUAUUUCAAUUUUCACUUUUUAUUGGGUUGUUUAAUGGAUUAGUGAGGCUGGUGGUCGUUGAUGCACUCACAAGGUACAAUUUUGUUUUCAAAUUUCAAAUUCGUAUUUUAAAAUGCAGCACAUUAUGCAUACAUAAUUAUUGAUUUUCAUAUGUGGGUGUUUUGAAAUAUUGCUAAAAGGCCAAACUUUAAUAAACUAUUUUUGAUCCUUUUUUGUUUCUUUUUUCCUAAAGUUUGAGUGAUAUCCGCAUUUUUAAAAGCUAAUGUAUGCAAAAAAUUCUUUCAUUUUUCUGGGGAAAAUAGGUAAGAGAAAAAGUUUUGGCAAAUGAGCUGCAACUGAAUUCAAAACCAAUACGAUGCGAGCAUAGGAAAGAGGUCAGUGUUUUGGAUUUGAAUUUAAAGAGGUCAGUGUUUUGGAUUUGAAUUUAGUAUUGAGCUGAAUUUUAUGUUUAACACAUGAUUCUAUUAUAGUACUGCGAUUAAUAAGCUCAGCCCCGGAUUUGCUUUUGCUUUUGCUUUUACUUCAAGUGAAAGAAAGAGGAAACCUUUUGUUUUUUCUUUGGUUUUUGACUAUGUUACCUAUACAGAGAGUCAAGAUAUCAGCCAUAAGUGAUGGUGUUAAAAAGAUUAAGCAGCGCACACAAUCUUACUGCUGUCUAGACGAUCCAAUGAUGACUCCAGUCUUUUGGUUACAUUAGCUUUAGUUGAAAUAAGGGCCAAUUUAGCAAACACUAGCUUUGGUGGCUUAUUAUGUUUAAUGUAAUGCUUAUUCUUAAGGAAUCUAAUGUAUAUAAGAUGAUUGAAUGAUCUUCUAUGAUUGUGAGUAGUAUAGGAUAAUUGAAAAGAGUCUGGUGUUAAAGGCUUACAGUUUUAAGCCUUUUAAACCAUGCGAUUUUAAAGUUUUACCGGAUUUUCCCGCACUUUAAAAUUUUAGACUGAAACAUUUUUGUAUAUAUAUACAUAAAAAUAUAUAUAUAUAAAUAUAUAAAUUAAGAGGGAUGAGUUAACUGAAGAUUAUAAUCAUUACAACAAUGCUGAUGAGUGAUACAUCACUUGAAAUUUACUUGUCAGUUGCUGAAAUGAUGAAAAAAAAAAUAAACAAUAACAGUGAUAAUGUUCUCUUGCUGAAAUGACUUGUAUAUUAUACAAUCCACUCUACUUAAUGAUAUCGUUUUAAUAAAUGUUUGAUGAUCUCCAUUUAAAAACUACUUCAAUUUUUUUCUUCAUUUAAGUUUUUGGUUGUUGAAAAUAACCUUAAUUAUCAAAUAAUUGGAGAAAGAGUAAAGAACAUUUAACAAAUUUAUGUGCAAAAAAAAAAAAGGGAGAAGUUGAAGAGAAAGGGUGCUUGCAGAAGUAGGUGUCAAAGAUAAAUCGGUCCAUAGGAAUUAUUUUGGUUAUUUUUUAGCAAUAGAAAAAUUUUUUAGCAAGUAAAAAUUAAUUUUUUUCCGCUUUACUAAAAAAUUAACUAAAAACUUAUGCGAUAGCAUUUUUUAUGGGUGCAUAUACUUCCCUUUAAAAAAAAUAUAAUAAUUAAUGCUUAAUAUAGUAUUAAAUACGAAAAUAUCAAUAUUUGACUACUCAAAUGUAUAUCAUUAGGUCCUUAAAAUUUAAAAUUGAAGAUACAAAAGGUAAUAUAUAUAAAUUUCAUUCUCAUGGGAAAGGAUCAUCUUAUAAUCUUAUAAUAUUUGAGCUUUGAAAGAUUUUUUUGAAACAAAUGUACUUUUAUUUGUGUACAAUCAAUAUGUACUUAUUUAUUAUAUUUUUAUUUAUUAACUAUCAAUCAUGUGAGUAUAUUUAGUCAGAAAAAUUAUAUCAAGAGAGAACCCUAAUUUCACGUAAAGACAAAUACAAGACAAAUAUGGCAAUUUCUAUACUAUUCACUUUCCUGUAAAAUCAAUUAUCUAAAAUGCAAGUUUGUGGCUUCAAAAAACUCGCCAAAGAAAGAAGAUAAUAGCAAUUGAGCAUUGAUAGCAAAUCUAAUGCAUCCAAUUCUUCUUAACUUGAUGAGUGACGUGAAUGCUACCAGUCUGUGACACCCAAAUUUUUAUUAUUUUAUUUAUUUUUUUAAUGGAAUUUGUAAAUGACGUUUUUGCCCUUAUAAAAAGGGUUAUUCAUGGAAUAAUUUUUAGGAAAGGGUUAUUUUUCCAAAUUCAAUAGGGUUUCUUAAGACUCCCUAUAAAUUCAUAUUUUUCUCCUUUCAUAACCCUAAAAGCACGACGUUUCUUCUUUUUCUAUACUGCUCAUUACACUCUUACCCAAACCCUAAGAUUCAAACCUUUGGUUAAGAGAGAAUCAAAGCGAUUGGUAAGUUUAUUCCCCUUAUUCUCUACAAGAUUCCCAAUCACUCUAUCUAGGGUCUAUAUUGGCAUGAUUUUAGAUUGUUAUAGAUCAUAAUACAUGAUUUAGAAUGUGUUUAGGCUUUGUUUAGAGUUUUGAUUUAUUAUGAGUUUAGUUAAUCAACCUUGACGUAUUAAGCACAUAGAAUAGUUCCAUAGAAUAUUAUGUUAUUCUAAGUUUUAGAUUAAGAGUUAAAAUUCUAAGCAUCAGACUUGUACGGGUACGAAUUAGAAAAAUCGGGUUCUUAGAAUAAGUUAUUAAUUGUCAUAUCUUGUAUUUGUUUAAGGUGAUUGAGGCUCUUAGAGGGUUAGAGGUGUGUUAAUUCAAAUUCUUUUGUCGAGGUAAGUAACUUCAUUCCUAAUGUACUGGAUAUAUAUAUAUAUAUAUGAUUAUUUUGAUAUUAUUAUAAGUACACAAAUUUUUUUACUACUUAGAAGAUUAAUUGAUUUUCAUAACAAAAUCAGUUUGUGUAAAUGUUUUCAAACCUAAAUUCCUUUUAAUAAAUUAUUUUGUAAAGGCUUUUAAAUAUGUAAGUUAUUUUAUGACAUGACUACCUUUUAUAAUUUUGUCUAUGAAAUAUUUGCAAGCCUAAAUUGUGGUUAUGGACUUUCAUGAAACUAAUACGAAUGUUUUGUACCUAUGUAUGAUUUCAAUUAUUUAUGAUUGUACGGGGGCCACCUCUUGGGACUAUAUGGGGGCCACCUCUUGAAAUUCAAAGCAUCACAAAAGUGCCACGUAUAAGUCAUUAUGUUUUGGCUCAUUAUCUGUAGUUAUUCUGAUUCUGAUUCUGAUGGUAUAAUACAAUAUAUGUCUGUUCUGGACCAGUACUAGGUUUUUGUUUUGAGUGUGCACAUGAUAUUCUGACUCUGUUUCUGGCCGGGUCACUAGGACUAUAGGUGACACUAUGUGACAUGAGCUAACCUUUUGUUUUCUGUGAAUGUGAUAUAUGAUUUGCUUUUGUAAAUAACUAUGCUUUUGAUAUUCUGAGUUACAAUGAAUUUAAAUUAUUUUAUAGUGAUAUAUCGUUUUAUGAAAUUUAUGGAUUAUGAUAUAUGUUUUAAUUAAAAGAAGGCUUGCAAUAUUUUUGGUAUUGAUAGGUCUAGUGUGUUAGGAAUAUUUUUACUUACCGAGUUGACGGCUCACCCCUCGUCAUUACUUUUUGCAGAUUAAGUUUCUUUUGAGAGCUGCGCUUAGCUUUGGAGUUAGUAAUUUUCUGUUUCCGUUUGCCAUUUGAAUAAGAGGAGAAAUAAACUCAUGUUUCUAUUUAGUUUAUUUAUGUUAUGAAUGUGUAAUUUGGAGUUUGAGACUUUUGUUAUUUUUUUUAUGUCCUCGGGAGAGAUUAUUUAGUAUUAGACGUUUGAAUUUGUGGAUUUAUUUGAAUAAGAAUUUGAGGUAUUUCAGUUUGAAACUUAUGAGUAAAGAUUAUGAUUUGUAAGUAACAUCCUUCUUCACGUGCUCCGCACGUGUUAGAUUUGGGGUGUUACAAUUGUGGUAUCAGGGCAUUAGGUUUGGGAUUCUGUAAACUUUAUUUGAGGCUAGAUUUCUUAAGCACAAUCAAUUAGUUCAAUGGUAUUGCUUGCCAUGAGGUUAUCGGAAAGAGUAGAUCUUUAAGGCGAGGAGUAAUUUUGGUCUUUUUGAUUUUCUAGUUGCUUGUGACUUUGUAAUAACUCCUUGAUAUAGGAUUUUGGUAUUAACGUAGAAUGAAAUAUUUGUUUGCUCUUGUUGUCAAUUACUAACUUUUCUCAAUUAUACUAUUUACUCAGUACUUUGUGCUAUAGCAAGCCCUUUAACUAUGAAUUAUUUACCAUUUUAUUUAUUUAUUUAUUUUUAUUCUUCGUGUUAUAGUCAAAAGAUGUCACGUAGGGGAGGUGCUAGGCAUGCCUUUAGCUCGAGAGAUGUUUUAGGUAUCGUUGAUGACGCUGACCUAACCUUGCGCGAGAUGGCUAACGAAGGGAAUCCUAUGAUGCGCGCAAUGGUUAGAUUGAUGGAACAACAAAGUAAGUUGAUUCAAGAUAUGGCUAGAGGUAAAGUUGGGGCACAUGAGAUUGUGCCAGUUGAAAGACAAGGUGGUGGAAGAGAUCAGGGAGGUAUGAUGAGCUUAGAGCGGUUUAGGAAAUUGAGACCACCUACCUUUCAGGGGGCUGCCAAUCCUAUGGUUGCAGAGGCAUGGCUAAAACAGAUGGAGAAGAUAUUUAUGGCUAUGGGUUGUAAUGAUGAUUAGAGGGUGAUAUUGGCCUCAUUGGUCCUUUAGGGUGAGGUAGACCACUGGUGGGAUGCCAAAUCCCGUCUUUUGAGGGCCGGGUUGCAAGAUGCACCUAUUACUUGGGAGUUAUUUCUGAAGGCUUUUCAUGAAAAAUAUUUUCCUGAACGAGUUCGACAUCAGAUGGAGGCUGACUUCCUGAAAUUGACUCAAGGAACAAAGCAUGUUGCGGAGUAUGAGGAGCAAUUUACUGCUCUAUCUCGUUUUUCUCGUACCUUAGUUGCUAAUGAGGGUAGUAAGUGUAGGAAAUUCUUGGAAGGCUUACAUCCAAACAUAAAAAGACGGUUGACCAUCCUUAAGCUUAAUAAUAAUGCCCAUUUGGUGGAUAGUACGAUUAUUGCAGAGAGGGAUAUAAUUCAAUCUCAAGUUGCACGAUCUAAUCGACAUAAUAACCAGCCAAUAAAACAUGAUAGUAAUGGUAGUGAAGGUGAACAUAAGUGCACUCUAAUGGUGGGUCUAUUCAAGAGAACAAACCAUUCUGUAAUCGUUGUGACAAGUACCAUAAUGGCACGUGUUAUUUAAAGAUAUGAGCUUGUUUUGGCUAUGGACAGAUUGGGCAUAAGGUUAUAAAUUGCCCAAAAAAGCACAGUGGUAACAUAGAUUCUGCCGAGAACCAAAGGAAAAAGCCACGUGUCUUCGCCAUGGUGGAGCAAGAUAUUAAAAAACCGAAUAACGAAGCCUCAGGUGCAUUACCUAUUUUCCAUAGAAAGCCUUGAAUUUUUGAGUAAUUGGUAUUGUGCUUUUCCUCCAUCCUUUCUUAUUGGAUGCAUCGUAGCUAGAGUUUUUAGCCUAAUAAUCACUACUAGAAAAAUAGGCUUUACUGACGCUAAAUUAGUGUCAGUAAUUACUUUUCCUGACACUUAUUAAUUGUGUCAAUAAUGCUCCAGCCAUAAUACACUGACACUAAUUUCUAGUGUCAGCGAUUUUUGUGUCAGUAAUUCAUGUCAUUAUGGUAUCACGAAAAUAAUGACACGAUAGCGUUAGUAUUUAAUGAUACUAUUUAUAUGUCAGUAAUUUAUGAGACUACAGUAUCAAGAGCACACUGACUCAAUAACAUCAAAAAUUACUACUGCUAUUUUAAACAUUUAGUGUCAGUAUUUAGUGAUGUUAUGGUUCUUUUGGUUAAUAGUAUACUUUGAUUUUAAUUAUAUUUUCCUAUUUGUUUUACAACUGAAAGAAAACUCAAAAUAUAUUAAAUAUACAAAAUCUCGCAACACAAUUGCAUAAGAAACAUCUCAAAUACAUCACUCAAAUUCAUAUCAUUAAACUACAUCAUUGUUUGGAAAAGAAAAAUAUAAAUACUAAAUUAAGUCUUGGACAAGCUCUUAACAACCAAGUACUAAGUUAAGAUUCAACAAAUAUUAACCAACAAAAAGAAGCACAUAAUGUCAUUGAACAUCCACAAGCGGCUUCAUUUUUCUUUUCCCACCUACAAGUACAUAAAAUCAAUUAGUAUACCACAAAAAGUAAUUCUUGAAUUUUUGGGAGAAAAAACAAUCAGGCCAAUUUCAGUGUUCAAAGAGACUAACAAAGAAUGGGGGCAAAAACAAUACAUAGCUCUCUUAGUGCAAGCUAAUUGUAAUAGGUAGUAUUGUGAAGAAUAUUUAUCUGCUAAGAAUUGAACUUGAGUGGAUUUUCCUACAGAUCUAUACACAACUCAACUUAAGAAGAAUAAAAAAAUAAAAAAAUAAAAAUCCUAAGGAUUAAGAAAGAUAAAUGGAGAUUUAUUAGUAUACAUCCAAAAUUAGAAACUCAUUAAACAAUCCAGGGGUAAAAAUUGAGGAAUAAGAAUAUAGCGUAUCUCAGGAUAAGACCAAAGACAUAAUAACAGAAACAUUUGAGGCAAACCACUACAAAGUUUUUACAUAAUAACCCAAAGCAAAGCAAACCAUUAUAAAAUUUUUACAUAAUAACCUAGAAACAAAACAGACGAAAAUUGGGCAAGUCCAUAUCCCAAACCUCUGUUAGGAAAAAUGUGUUCAGCAGACUCAUGGCUCCAACAAUAGAAAUUAACCCGUACACAAGGAAACAAAUUAAUUGAUAUAAAAAACAGUCAAAGACAAAGCCAACUAAGAAGAUUAACUAAUUUGGAGAUUGAAUUACAUAGUUAUUUUUACAAAAUAUAGCAUAAGCCCAUUGUAUUUCAUAGUAAGCAACUGCAAAAAUGCCUAGAGGCAAAUUCAUAAAGGAAGAGUAGAUAGAAGAAAAAAAAGACGAGGAAAUAAACAGCUUGAAACAAACAAAUCACCUAACACAUCAUGGGGAAUUGACUUGUUAACGUUAAAGAGCAAAAUAAAACUUGGCACCUUCAUUCGAAAAAGAACAGACGCUUACCCCUUACGGAGAAUGGCUUAGGUUUUUCUUUAGAGUUUCAGGCUGAUUUAUAAGAAUAUGAAGAAGAAAUGAUUAUGGAAGUUUGAUAGUGAUCAAGGAUUGAAUAUUGGGCUUAAAAUACAAAUUGGCAGUGAGGGCUGGUUUUCGAUCAUAAUGUUGAGAGACCACUAAUUCCCAAUACUUGUACCCUCUCACAGAAAAAUCCAAAUUUAAUAAACAUGAACUAAAUCCAGUGUAUUGAGUGUUAUUAUUUAAUGGAACAUAAAAUCUCUGGGUCAAAUAAUUCUAAAGUUAAACCAACAAUAAUCCCAAAAGCUAUAGUUGAUAAGAAAGGCCCAACAGUAUACUUCUAUCACACAAAAUUUGAAGAUAGAAAAAAGAAGGGCCUUUUUGUUUUUUAACUGAAACUGAAAAAAGAUUCAGUAUUAACAAUUCAUAAAUUUUAAAGACGUUGGUUUUCCAUCUUAACACUGAAAACUUGGUGUUUAUAUAUCCGAAUAUAAUUAAGCCAAAAAUUUUAAUUUAUCACUAAAUAGGAAAACAACUAAAUAAGCUGCAUAGUUUUAUUUUCCAAUAAAUGCUUAUAAUAUUUAUUCAUUCCUUACCAUAUAAAAACCUAUCCUUCAUUAUUUAUUUAUUUUUUAUAGGAAACAGAGAAAUUAGUAUUAAUAAGAACAAUAAUUACAAAAUGUCAAAAGGGUGUCCACAAAAAAAGGCUAUUGAAGUAUCACAGACCAAUCUCCAAAUUAGGCAAGCACUCAGAUUCCAAGCUAAUACUCCAAAAAACAAAUCUAACCUCAAACUACCUGAUAAACAGCUCAAAAUGACAUAAUCCUCAACAUUCUUCAGACUAAUUGAUCAUGCAUCAAGGUAUGUUGGGAUCUACAAAUACAUUGAAAAGAUCUUUGCAAAUAACAGUACAACUAGAAAGCUUGGUGUUUACAUUCUUGAAAAUUCUUUUUAUUGCUGACAAUAGAAAGGGAUUCCUUUUUCUGCUUAUUUCCUAAAAAUACUAAUAUAUGCUGCCCCACUAUACUCACAAGUAAUCUUACACAAAUGCUCUUUAGACAAGAUUAGUAUUUGCUACCUUUCACCCCAAUUACAAAACCAUAGAAACUCACCACCUAGACAAAUUUUAAAUUGUCUCUAUAGUUGGCUAUUAAAAACUGCUAAAUUUGUUUGCAGCCAUGCCCAAAAAUUUCAAGAACAUUGAACACAACGUAUUAUAGGUACAAACAAGAUAAAAUGAUGUUCCAGGAUUCACUCGACAUGUCAUCCAAGGUGAUACAAAACGGUAGAACUAUAGAACUAGGACAAAACUUGCAGCAAGAUAAUGGCAAUUUCCCCCUUUCGUGUAAGAUAAUCAUAUUAUUCUUCAAAGAGAGACGCACAAAAAAAAAAUGCUUGUUGAAAACAAGCAAGCAUAUGGGUAUGAGUCUAUUGUUGUUUAUCUGUGAAUCAUGUUAAUAACCAGCCACAGAAAAAUAGUAAACAAUAGUUUUCACACAAUCGAUGCAUAUUAACACAAGCCACGGAUUAUGAUUUCACUAACCAUUGCACACAAAGGUUCCAGACCAAUUUUAGAAGGAGGUUCUACAAGUUACUUUCCUUCAACUACUUGAAAAUCAAUCAUUAACUAAAGAAAUACACAUGAAAUUAGUUUAAAUAAUAGGAAAGGUAAAGGAGACAUUUUAUAAAAACUCUUAAAUGUGGUACUAUGAUUUCCACAGACUGUGCAACAAAAAUAAAAUUGGAUGAACUAUAAUAAGUGAGAAGACAUAUUGUAAUUCUAUCAUCAAAGAAAGAUAAGCUUAAUCAUUUUUAAUUUUUUCUCAAAUAUCCAGUAGUACCUUAAGGUAAUAGGACAAGAUCGCAGAAGUUGUCAUGAAGAGUGUAAAGCACUAAAUAACAAAAAUUAUACUAAUAAAUAAAACUCAAUUUAUUUUCUCCCUCAAUCAAUUGCUUUGAGCUUACUAUGAAUUCAACUAUGAAUUUGAGGAAAAAAUACAGACCUCAGUUUGUCAACUUCUUGUUCAUGAGAUUCAGCCGCAGUAAAUGCAAACCUCCAUUUCUCGUCAAGCAUUGUUAACCUCUACGACAAAUUGAAGGUAAGAAGAUGAACAAAAUAAGUGUAAUGUGCAGGAAAAAAAAUGAAGUCUAUGGGUACAACAACACUUCAAGAUUUUUCAAGUUCUAGUUCAUUUAAAUAGACAUUCCUUGAACUUCAGUAGCAAAGAAAGUACAUUAUAGCAACAAUUUCAAUUCAUUUCAAUCUUUAGAAUUUUUUAUUUUAAAAAAAUAAAUUCCUUCAAACUAGUGAAAGGAAAAUAAAAGUGUGUUUACAGAAGAAAAAUCAUGGAAUGAAUUAAUGACCAUGCAAGUGAGGAAACACAGAAAUUUCUGAAUAAGAGCGAAACUAACCGUGCAAAUGAACAAAGAAAAUGUAAGUCUUCAAGUGCUACAACAAGCAAAACUACCUAAAAACAAGCAUUUUCUUCUUGAAUUAAAGACAAAUCAUGAACUUUGUGCAAUCUCAAAACAUUCAGACAAGCAUGAACUUAGUUAAUUCAUAUCAUAGUCAUUGUCUCUAUUAAAAAUCUUCCAACUAAAAAAAAUAAAAAAAUAAACAUGUUGGUUUCUAUAACAUAAUUUGCCUAUCUUUACAUGAAACAGAGCAAUAAAUAACACUUAAUAAUUAUGAAAUACACAGCCAUUCAAUCUAUAUAAUAUAGAAAUAAAGGAAAAAAAAGAAAAAAAUUCAAAUUACAAUUAAAUAAACAAAAAAUAGAUAUGGAAAAGAAAUCCCACCAAGACUGCACUACUGGGAGAAUUUCUCAACAUCUGCAACAACCCAUAAAAUUAAAAUUAACAAAAAACCCUAAUAAUCAUAAGCUAAAAUAAAACAAAUUUAUUAAUUAAUUUGACAAAGAAAAUAAAAUAUUAAGCCAUUACCAGCAGUUAAAGCCUUAAUCAAGGCAACCUGUUUGCCCUUAAAGUCAUUGAAAAUCUCCUUCACAGGUCUAAGUAUAAGGUGUGGUAUCCCUUCCAUAGCAAGAAAAUUAACUAAUUUCUCAAUAAUUUUAUUCAAAUUCAAGCAAAUGGGUUUUGAAUAUUGAACAAAAAAAAGUGAAAUUUGACCAUAAAAAGAAAAAAAAUUGAUAAAAGAAGCCUCGAUUACGGUUUUGGUCCGUUUUUCAAUUUGAGAAAAAAAAGGAAAAAGGGAAUAAAAGCCUCACUUAGGGUUUUAGCUUUAUAUUAUCUAUUUGAGUUAAAUGAACGAGUUUGUGAAUGGAAAGAAAAAAAAGGAAGAGAUCGAGAAGAGAAAAAGGAAAGAGAAAGGGAAAGAGAAAGGCAAGAGACAGUUUUGGGUUUGAGUUUGGGUUAGAGAUUUGUGUGUAUAAAAGACAGGGAGAUGGGGACAAUUGCUAAGUUUGGGAUAUGUUUUACUUUCGUUUUACAUGUUUUAAAUUCUUAAUUUAGUACCUGCAGUGUCGAACCACUUGAACGGAAGUGAUAGUGGCAACGGCGUGGGGGUGGGCGCAGCCAUGGGGGUUGGGCGCGGCCGUGGGCGUGGGCGUUUGGGCCUGGUCAUUCUCCAUCUUUCACGAUAGAGAAGAAGAAGUCAAGAAAGGCAAGGAAAUUACGCAGCAGCUACGACAUGGGCUCUAUUGCACAAUGGAAAAGGGGAAUUAGGGUUUGGUUUUUUAUAUGUUAAUAUUUUAUAUAACAUUGUAAUUCCAACUCAAUUUUAUGGGGUCCAGUGGUUUGCAAUCUAAACGUAAAAGUUUUGAGUUUUAGAAAUCCCAGGUUCGAGUUAAAAUCAAAACAAAUUUUAAUGAUUCUUUUUAGAUCUCUGAUGCUGAAGUAUCAGUGAUCUCUAAUAUUUAAUUUACUGAUACAUUAGUAUUAAUAAUUUGUGACAUUUAUUUGUUAAAAGUGGAAAAUGGUGCAUAGUUAGGUAAUUACUGACACUUUUUUUAAAGUGCCAGAAACAAAGUGUCAGUAAAAGUCAUUUUUGUAGUAGUGAAUUUCUUUUUUCAUCCAUUGAAUUUCUAUGGUACAUUAGUAGGAUAUGAGGUGUGAUUUUAUAAGGCCAUUAGGAUUAACUUAUGGUUGGAUGGAGUAGGGACUAAUAUGAUAUUUAGUAGGAUAUGGGAUGAAGAUUGCAAUAAAAGUGUUUCACCAGCAAUGUGCGAGCGCAUUGAAGGGUUUUGAAGUUGAAUGUGAAGUGAUAAAAAAUAUUCACCAUCGAAACCUUAUCAAUGUUAUUAUUAGUUGUUCGAACGAUGACUUCAAAGCAUUAGUCCUAGAAUACAUGUACAACGGGAGCUUGGAGGAUUGGCUGCAUUCUAGCAAUUAUGUGCUUAAUAUUUUUCCCAGGUUGAACAUAAUGAUUGACGUUGCAUCAGCUUUAAAAUAUCUCCACUUUGAUCAUUCAACUCGUAUCAUUCAUUGUGACUUAAAGCCUAAUAAUGUGUUGUUGGAUGAAAAUAUGGUUGCUCAUUUGAGUGAUUUUGGCAUAGCAAAGCUUUUAAGUUGAAGAUGAGUCUACGAUGCGAACAAAAACCCUUGCCACUAUAGGUUAUACGGCACAAGGUUUGCUUGAAACAACUUUUUUUUAGUUUAUUUUAAAAUUUCCAAAUUAUUGAUUUUUACGAUCCUCAUAUCAAAAUGUUAUUGAUUAUUUAUCUAAUUAUGAAAUAAUUUGAUUCAUAGAGUAUGGCAUAGAAGGAGAAAUAUGUGCAAAAAGUGAUGUUUACAGCUACGGGAUUAUGUUGAUGGAAACUUUUACCAAGAAAAAACCCACAGAUGAGAUUUUUGUUGGAGAAUUGAGCUUAAAGCGUUGGGUUAAUGACUUGCUUCCUAAUUCAUUAGUGGAAGUUGUGGACAAAAUUCUGCUAAUUGAAGAGGAAAAACAUUUUGCCGCAAAGGAGCAAUGUCUGUUCUCUAUCUUUAUUUUGGCACUAGAGUGUACAAUGGAAUCACCGGAAAAGAGGAUCAAUACAAAAGAUAUUGUUACCAGAUUACUCAAGAUAAGAGACACGUUGAGUAAAAGGAUAGGAAAUUUAAGUUAAUUUUGUUUGCUUUCAUUGAUAGUUACUUUGAAUUCAAGUAAUAAGUGUAAGAAUCGUUUAUCUUUUCUUUUGAUAUUUUUUUCUUGAGAAAACUGUUGUAGUCAUCUUUUUUCAAUGGGCAGAGUUGAUUUAGUUCUUCCAAGAAAUGCUAUUGUUGAUCUUUGUUACAUACGUUUGUCUUUUUUUGCAUGCAUUUAGGUAGAAUAGUGGUCUAGCUGCAGGCUAACAAGUCAAGCUACGCUAAAAGCGUAUGAUUUAAUUUAUUAAACCUAACUUCAAGUUCAAGAAUUGCAUCUCAUUGCCACCAAUGCUUUAGACACCUAUUCGUAGGUUUGUGUCCUCAACUUUGUUUGGAGCAAAAGUUCCAGUCCCAUGGAGGCUCAAAUAUUUCUCUCCUACGUCCCGAACACGCUAAAUUCAUCAGCCUCUUGAACCCUCUCCUGAGGGCGCCUUCUGUCCUCUGUUUUCUGUUUCCAUACACAAAUAGCAAAAAGAAUUCAGACUGAUAACUGGGUAUCUAAGAAUAUAUAAGAGUGAAAUAAUUAAAAAAAAUUGUGCUUUUUUGUUUGUCGUGUUAAAAUCGUAAGGUAUCUAAGUACUAUGAAAGAGAUUAGUUUACGAAAACUGAAGCCAAGGGUUCAUAAAAAAAAGUGCAUAGAGAAUAAAGGACAACGCUUAUGUAAAGCGACAUAAUUGUAUUGGUAGCACAAUGUCACGUUCAUACAGAGAUCAAGUACAUUAUUUACAGCUGGUAAGGGCUAAGAAUUGAUGUAGCUAGAAUACAAAGAUGAUAUGGUAUGUUGUGCACUAUUGUUUUAUUCUACAAUCAAUCUUGACCCUUGAUGCUUGGCUCUCAAUCUUGUCCAUUGAUCUUCUCUGAUCUCGAAAACUUCAAGACCUUUCAAUCUCAUGCCUUAUUAUUGGUGUCUUCUAUGCUGUUAAUUUCAAAUACUAGCUUUUCCGCCAACUUGCCAAUUAUUUGUUCAUUGGUGCGUUUUGUCAAACAGUGUGGAUACUUAUACCAAACGCUUUCUGUUUUAACUACCCCUUUCAAGCUCAAUUAUCUGGGAAGACACUAAUAAGCUUGUUUCUCAAGUAUAUGUAUCUGAAAAUUAAAUUUUCAAAAUUAUAUUCGGACUCUACAUUUUCUAAUGAACAUUGGUUUGGCUCAUAAGCUUAUUAUACUUGGGCUUGGUAGGAUUAUCGGUCGGUAGAUGAACAAGUGUUAGAGCUUUCGAAUUUAUGCCAAUUAAAAAAAAUCUAUAUAAAUUUUCCACUAGGCUAUUACCACAAUAAACAUUUGGAUGAACUAUUAUUGAAACCUUAUUGAGAAGUAGGACAUGUCGCAUACCAAUGCACUGACAUAUCUUCAAAUAGUGGUAACUCCACACAACAUGGCACAAUAAAUUAAGAGUUAUAUAGAUAAAAUCUUUCACUCUUUGGUAAUCAUCAAUGUCGGCAUGACAAUGCGUCCCACAAAUAUGGCUCCUUAUCAAAAUUCAUAAAUCAAAACAAAAUAGAGAAUCAUAUUUGUUCCAGAUUGUAGUGAUGGUUGUUGAUGCACUCACAAUUUACAAUUUUAUUUAAUAUCUUCAAAUUCGCAUUUUAAAAUGCCCAAAUGUUUGUGUAUACAUAAUUAGAUAAAAUCUUUCAUUCUUUGGUAAUCAUCAAUUUCACUAUUAUUCGCUUUAUUAUGUUUGUUUCUUGCAGUAUGUUAAAAGAUUAUGUUGUGAAUUUGUUUUACAGGCCGCCCGUAAGUCUGCGCCCACUGUUGUGAAUUUGUGUAUACAUAAUUAGUAAUCGAUUCUCAAGCACGGACAUUUAAAAGCACUGCCGAAAGACAAAAUUUUAAUUUACUAUUUUUUGUCUUUUAAUUUUCUUUAAGUUUUAAUGAUUCCGCAUUUUAAAAUCCUGUGGAACGUGUAUGUAAAAUUCUUUUAUCUUUUAGAGGAAAACGGGCAAGAGAAGAAUAUUUGGCAAAGGAAUUGCAACCGCAUUUGGAGCUAUAUUUAAUUUUGUCUUUUAAGUCUUUUACACUUGUUUUUGUUAUUGAUGUUAGCUUGGAUGUGUGUGCGUGUGCGACUGAAUUCAACUUACAUGCUAUUGAUGCAGCCACCAAAAAGGGGUGGUCCAUCAUCAAUCAACAAGGUUUAUUAUUAUUUUCAUAUGGAUUUUCUUAAUUAUAAAUAAUACUAAUGCUAUUUCAUAGUUAUAAAUAUAUUAGAAUUAAUCGAAAUCAUUUUUUAGUGUGGCAUUGCCAAACUACCUUUUUUUAUAAGUAAUUACUACUUUCACAUUAAGAAAAAUACUCCUAUUUUUAGGGAAAAAUCAAGUACUUGUAGUUGUGAAAACUUGAGCUCACUCGCGUAUGAUAAAUCUUCAUAUUAAUUACAUAAAUAUCCUCUAAAAUUUUAAAUUAACUAUUCAAAAUUCGAUGUUAUACGGGUAUUUCAUUUAUUUGAGUAGGGGUUAGGGGUCAAUUGGAUACAAAUUCAAAAUUAUCCUUACUUGAGAAGGUGAUAAAAAUUGGGGAUUUAAUUUGGAUGUCAUUAGCUACAAAUAUUAAAUUCAUACAUUUAAUUCAAAAUUGGAGGGUUGAUAUAUGCGCAUCAUCGUGCACGUUAUAGUGACACUGCGUCACCAUCCCACAACCUCUCCAAUGAAAAAUUAACACGUUUCUCGUGUGCAUUUGAUCAGAAUCCUGAAAAUUAAUCACAAAAUUGUACUUUUAUUAUAAAAAGAAUAAAGAAACUCCUGAAAAAAAAAUACUUACAUAAAUGGUUUGAAAAUUCUAGAUUUCAAGUUGUCUAUAUUAGCUUGAUAUUUUUAUAAAUAGUCAUCCUCUCAAAAAAAUUCCAUCAAAAUAUAUAUUUUAAUUUUAUGUUAAUUCAUAAACAUGAAAAAAUCAUUUCAUAAUUAAUUAAAACAUAAUUUAUUGUUUCUCAAAAAAGGUAGAACUUAGUGAUAAGAAAAAAGUAUCUCAAAUAUAUGUAAAAAAAAAAAAAAUCUUGGUUGGUUGGAAUGAUUGAAUUUGCUUUUCUUUUUCUUUUUUAAGAAUUAAGACAAUCGGAUUGAUUGAGUAAUAAUAAUAUAUAUUUAUUUGGAGGUAGGCUUUCGUCUCAUGCAGAUUGAUUAGAGAGAAAACAAAACAAUUUUAAGCUCGUUAGAUUCGAAGCUGCUUACCUGUCGUGUGGGGAUCACUUCCGUGUCUUAUUUUUCUAAAAAAGUCUGGACCAUUGGAUUUAUGUGAAUCGUACUGAACAUUGGAAUUGAUGUAUAAGAAAAAAAUUUUGUAGUCGUUUAAGGAAAAAAAUUAUUCAAUUGGGAAUUUUUUUCCUUUAAUUUUUGUUGUACUUGAUUGAGAUUUCUCCUUAGUCCCUACAGUUUUAAGUUUGGAAACCGUAGGAUUAGUAAUUUCGUACUUCCUUUGCAAGCUGAGUAUAAGGAUGAAAUUCUUUUAAGAAAUUAAAAAAGAUAAAAAAAAGCAUACCAAUAGGCAAUUAUAAAUAACCACAAAUAAAUAUAAACAAAAUGUUUAUGACGUAAAUUAAACAUGCUCAAUUAUUUUCUUUUAUUUUCUGCUCGGAAACCCAUAAAUGCACUAAUCCAGUAUUACUAAUUUCAGACAGAAAAAUUUGAAUUUAACCGGUAUACAUUUCUACAAACCAAACAAGGCUAUUAUUUUUAUUAUUAUUUUUUUUUUUUUAUAAAUUACUAUUUUAAUUUUUCACUUUUUAUUGGGUUGCUUAACAGAUUAGUGAAGUUGGUGGUCGUUGAUGCACUCACAAGGUACAAUUUUAUUUUAGAAAUUGAAAUUUCGUAUUUUAAAAUGCAGGCACAUUAUGUAUGCAUAAUUAUUGAUUUUCAUAUGUGGGUGUUUUGAAAUAUUGCUAAAAGACCAAACUUUAAUAAACUAUUUUUGAUCUUUUUUUUUCCUUUGUACCUAAAGUUAGAGUGAUAUCCGCAUUUUAAAUUCAUGUGGACCAAAAGCUAAUGUAUGGACAAAAUUAUUUUAUUUUUCCGAGAAAAAUGGGUAAGAGAAGAAGAUUUUUCUCUUGAAAAAGAAAAACUAAUACGUUGCAAGCAUAGGAAAGAGGCUAGUGUGUUUGGAUUUGAAUUUAGUAUUGAGUUCAAUUUUAUGCUAAGCUCUUUUAUAAUACUGCGAUUAGGGAGCCCUUAAGUUACAUGUAAUAUAACUUACACUCGCUCACUUAAAUAGUGGGUGGGUUGGGGGCCCACUCACUGUUCAUGUGAGUGAGUGUAAGUUCCAUUAUAUGUAAUUUAGCACUUGCCUUGCGAUUAAUAAGCUCAGGAUUUGCUUUUGCUUUUACUUCAAGUAAAAGAAAGAGGAAACCUUUUGUUUUUUGUUUGAUUUUUGACUAUAUAUGUUACCUAUAUAGAGAGUUGAGAUGGCUGCCUUAAGUGAUGGUGAUAAAAAGAUUAAGCAGCGCACACAAUCUUACUAUCGUCCAGACUGUCCAGUGAUAGACUCUAGUUUUUUGGUUACAUUAGCUUUAGUGGAAAGAAGGGCCAAUUUAACAAAGACUAGAUUUGGUGGCUUGUUGUAAUGCUUAUUCUCAGGGAAUCUAAGGUUAUAAGAUGAUUGAAUGAUCUUCUAUGAUUGUGAGCAGUAUAUUAUAAUUGAAGAGAGCUUGGGCUCCUAUGAUGUAUAACAAUAACACAUUACUAUGAUUGAGAAAACUCAGUUACAAUAAACUCUUCAUUUAUUCAUUGCUGAGAUUGAAUGGCAAAUAGAGAAUAGAAUGAAGCAGAGGAAUCUCAUUGCCUGUAAAAUUGAGCCUAUUUAAUAUUACUUGUAGUUUUUAUUGUAAAAUAUACAGGUAUGACCAUGAUCAGAUGCUUUUUUUAAAAACAAAUGAGACAUCUUUGAUUUAUGGUAGUUUUAGAGAAAAAAAAAACAUAUAAAAAUUAAGAGGGAUGAGUUAACUGACGAUUACAAUCAUUACAGCAAUGCUGAUGAGUGAUACAUCACUUGAAAUUUAUUUGUCAGUUGCUGUAAUGAUGGAAAAAAACAAUAAACAAUAACAGUAAUAAUGUUCCCUUGCUGAAAUUCAAUUUUGACUUUCGACUCUUGGCUUUUAUGGAGAGUAAAAUGACUUGUAUAUUAUCCUCAUACAAUCCACUCUACAUAAUGAUAUCAUUUUAAUAAGGCAAUGGCUGAUGAUCUCCAUUGAAAAACUUUUUGUUUUAUUUAACUUUUUGGUUGUUGAAAAUAACCUUAAUUAUCAAAUAAUCAGAGAAAGAGUAAAGAACAUUUAACAAAUUUAUGUGCCAAAAAAAAAAGGAGAAAUUGAAGAGAAAGGAUGCUUGCAGAAGUGGGUGUCAAAGAGAUAAAUCGGUCUAUAAGAAUUAUUGUGGUUAUUUUUUUGGUGCCUUGGAGUUCUUUAAAUUAAGGGCCCAGUUUGUCCAUUUGUUUCAGUUAGGUCCUUAUUAAAAAUUAAUUUUAAUAUUGGUUUUCUUAAUUAUAACUAAUACUAAUGAUAUUUCAUAGUUAUAAAUAUAUUAGAAUUAAUCCAAAACAUUUUUUAGUGUGGCAUGGCUAAAACUACCUUUUCUAUUAGUAAUUACUACUUUUGCAUUAAGGAAAAUACUCCUAUUUUUAGAAAAAAGUCAAGUACCUAUAGUUGUGAGAACUUGAGCUCACUCGCUUAUGAUAAAUCUUCAUAUUAAUUACGAAAAUAUCCUCUAAAUUUUAACUAAACUAUUCGAAAUUCAAUGUUAUUCGGAUAUUUCGUUUAUUUGAGCAGGGGUUAGGGGUCAAUUUGAUACAAAUUCAAAAUUAUCCUCAUUUGCGAAGAUGAUAAAAAUUAGGGAUUUAAUUUGGAUGUCACUGGCCACAAAUAUUAAACUCAUGCAUCUCAAAAUUAGAGGGCUGAUAUAUAUGCAUUAUCGUUAUAUUGACAUGUGUCACCAUCCCACAACCUCUCCAAUGAAAAAUUGACAUGCAUCUUGUGUGCUUCUUAUCAAAAUCCUGAAAAUUAAUCACAAAGUUAUAUUUUUAUUAUAAAAAGAAGAAAGAAACUCCAUAAGUGAAAAAAAAAAAGACUUAAACAUAAAUAUUUUAGAUAAUCUAGAUUUCAAGUUGUCUAUACUAGCUUGAUAUUUUUAUAAAUAUCAAGAUUUCAAGUUGUCCAUAGUAGCUUGAUAUCUUCUAAAAAAAUUCCAUCAACAUAUAUUUUAAUUUUACGUUAAUUAAUAAAUAGAAAAUUCAUUUUAGAAUUAAUUAAAACAUUAUUUAUUGUUGCCAAAGAAGGAAGUACUUAGCGAUAAGAAAAAAGUGUCUCAAAUAUAUGUUAAAAAAAAAUCAUGGUCGGUUGGACUGAUUGAAUUUUUUUUUCUUUUUCUUUUUUAAGAAUUAAGACAAUUGGAUUGAUUGAGUAAUAAUAAAAUAUAUUUAUUUGGCAAAUGGCAGGUAGGCUUUCUUCUGAUGCAGAUUGAUUAGAGAGAAUAUGCAGCAAUUUUAAGCUUGUCAGAUUCGGAGGCUGCUUAUCUGUCGUGUGGGGAUCACUUCCAUGUCUUAUUUUUCUUGAAAAAUCUGGACCGUUGGAUUUACCAUUAGUCAAUAGAGAAAUGCUGAUCUUGAUUCUUGAUCAAGAUCGAAGUUUGAUUCUAUCUAACAUGAUAUCAGAUUGCGAAGCAAGCAAAUUGAAAGUAACUUGUUCUAUUUUGAUGGAAGAAACACAAUUUCUAUUGUUCUAAUAAAAAAUUUUAAUUAUACAUAUUUUUCUUUUGCCACUUGGGUUUGUAGUCCAGUGGUGAACUAUUGGCCUUAAAGUUAAGUAUGACUAUGAGGGCAAUGGUUCGAGUGCCCACGAACUCAAACUCCCUCAAUUAAACAUAAUUAUGUGGAGAUUACUUAUAACGUCUUUCUCUCUUGUGAAAUCUGAGUGGAGUAGAAAUAUCCCUUUCCCGUGAGGGUUAUUUGGCUAGGCAUGUACUUUAUAGAAUAAAAAUGUAAUAAUGUAAGUCAGUGCAAUGAUCUACUGUCAUAGUAGUUGUAAAUAUCUAGGUGUAAUACAGUAACCUGAUGCUUAAUCAGUUAAAAAAAAUGUAUAUCUUUUUUUUAUUUUUUUCAUUGUGAUCACUAUAACUAGUCAAAUUUAUUUUUAAAUAUUUUUUAAAAAAAUAUUUUAUUAACAAUGAUAUGAAAAUAUUCGAACCCCUUCUCAUAGUAAAGUGAAUUACUAUCCAACUGAUGCCUUCAAACUGUAAAUUGCAAAUCGUGUGUUUGCUCCAUUACAGGGUGUCUUCAAUUUAAAAUAGAGAAUAAUUUGGUUCUAGAUUAAUCGUGGGUCUAUAUCCAAAUCCAAAAAUUGACUAACUUGAUUUCUAUUAAGUUCUCAACCCUAACACGAAAAAUAGAAGAUUAAAAAUGACUAUUUUGGUUUCUAUUAAUUUGAGUAACACUUAAUAUUUAUCAUACAAUAGUCACUUAUAUUAUCAAAAUCUUGGGUCGAAAAUAUUAGGAUAGGUGAUAAUUGGAAUUAAGUUGUAGAUAAGAUAGAAAUGGAUUUGGAGAGAGAUUGGAAUCCUGGCUAAUCCGGUGCACGUUGUUGCGUUAAAUUCUCGUUGACUUCACGUUGACCGAAGCAUUAUUGGAAGAAACAAGCAAGCUUAUUUUCUUCUCUCAUUUUUUACUUUUGUCUAAAUUUAUUGAUGUGAGGCCUCUGAGAUGGUAAAGUGUUAAAUCUGAGAAGAGUACCCACACACCCAUUAUCCUAUUACUCUUAUUUUAUCACAUGCAGAGACGUCAACGUUUGAUUCGCACGGAAAAAAAUUUGCUAGGAUUGUGAGGGUUGAUGUAAUGUAAUUUAGAUGCAAAGUGUUCACAAGUGCGAUGCUUCGUAAGUGUACUUGAAUCAUUAUAAACUCACCUUAUUUUCAUAGUGAUUAUUUCAUCUGCAUGUGAAUAUAAUCAUAUGUGGAGAUUUUUUUCCUAAAUUAUGAUCUUCUCUGGUAUUGAGGUGUUAUAUUUUUUAAAGGUUAAUGUUAAGUUACAUGCAUGUAACUUACAACCCUCUCACAUGAAUAGUGAGUGGACCCACACCAUUCACUAUUCAUAUGAGAGGGUUGUAAGUUACAUCCUCUUUUAAAUUAUAAUUAUUAUUAUAAAAAAACUGCAACUAUGAAAAAAAAUUAAUAUUAUGUCCUGAAUAUAAUUGUUAAAUAAUAAUUUUGACAAAAUUAAUGAAUAUAUACAGUUUUUUUAUCAUAUAAGUGUAAAAUUAUAUCAAAUUAGCUUUUAAAUUAUACAGUGGCUACUGCUUAUCAAACACUUUAGUGUUGUAACUUUUAAGUUAUAACUGUCUAGCCUUUAACCUCAAUCUCAAACGAGGCUUAUAAAGAUCAAGGAUUUCCUCAUAAAAAUUAUACGUCUUGUGAUUGCUUAUUUAAUUUAUAUUUUCGUUAUUUAUCUUUAUUAAUUAUAGUCAUCUUUUUAUAAAUUACAAUUGGAGAAAGUUGGUUGAUGUUGUUGACACACACACACACAUACAAAGAUAUAUUGGAAGUGCUUAUUAUGUCGACUCGAAGUUGUGGGGAGUUAAUGCAUGUAUUGAUUUAUUGGGAGUGUUUAAAUUAUUUUGUGAUUUACUUGAUAGAUUGAUUGAUUGAAUAUUGUUUGAUUGCUUCAUAUCAAUUCUGGAAAGUUUAUUUCUUUGUGAAAUUUCAACGAAAUAUGUUUUUUAAAAUAAUAAGGGUGUUUUAAGUAAUUUUGAAAAAUAAAUACACUAAUUAGAAUUAAUUAUUAAGUAAUUAACUCGAACUGUAGAGGAUAAGCAAACAUUUAUCCUAAUUAUAUUAUGAUAAAUCCUUUUCCAACUAGAAUUAGGAAACCAUAGAUAUACAGAUUUUUAUUUUUAUUUCCCUUUGCGAAAACGGAUUAGAGAAUUAGAAAACAAUCCUAGUGAGACUAUUGUUAGGUUUAAUAUUUUGUCGAAUUUGGAAACUUUUUGUCGAAUUAGAAAACAUGCGUGGUGAAUAUUUUGUCGCAUGCAAACUUUUUGUUUUAUGCAAAUCGUACUGAACAUUGGGACUGAUGUUUAAGAAAAAAAUUCUGUAGUUAAAGAAAAACAAAAAGGCAUGUUGAAUAGAUUACGAUAGUUUAUUCAAUUGGGAAUUUUUUUUCUUUAAUUUUUGUUGUACUUGAUUGAGAUUUCUCCUUGGUCCUUACAGUCUUAAGUUUGGAUACCGUAGGAUUAGUAAUUUCGUACUUCCUUUGCAAGCUGAGUAUAAGGAUGAAAUUCUUUUAAGAAAUUAAAAAAAAAUGAUAAAAAAGGCAUACCAGUAGGCAAUUAUAAAUAACCACAAAUAAAUAUAAACAAAAUGUUUAUGAAGUAAAUUAAACAUGCACAUAUUAUUUUCUUUUAUUUUCUGCUUGGAAACCCAUAAAUACACUAAUCCAGUACUACUAAUUUCAGAUAGAAAAAUUUGAACUCUAAGCUGCAGUUUGACUCAAAAUGAUGAUCACUGGCUUCGCACCAUUUAACCGGUAUACAUUUCUACAAACUGAACAAGGCUAUUGAUUUUUAUUAUUAUUUUAAUUUGUUUAUAAAUUACUAUUUUAAUUUUCACUUUUUAUUGGGUUGUGUAACGGAUUAGUGAAGCUGGUGGUCGUUGAUGCACUUACAAGGUACAAUUUUAUUUUAUAAUUUCAAAUUCGUAUUUUAAAAUGCAGGUACAUUAUGUAUACAUAAUUAUUGAUUUUCGUAUGAGGGUGUUUUGAAAUAUUGCUAAAAGACUAAACUUUAAUAAACUAUUUUUGAUCUUUUUUUUUCCUAAAGUUUGGGUGAUAUGCGCAUUUUAAAUUCAUGUGGAACAAAAGUUAAUGUUUGUAUAAAAAUUCUUUUAUUUUUUUGAGCAAAAUAGGCAAGCGAAAAAGUUUUGGCAAAUGAGUUGCAACUGAAUCCAAAACCAAUACAAUGCAAGCAUAGGAAAGAGGCCAGUGUUUAGGAUUUGAAUUUAGUAUUAAGCUGAAUUUUAUGGUACGCUCUUUUAGAGUACUGUGAUCGAUAAGCUCAGCCCCGGAUUUGCUUUUGCUUUUGCUUUUACUUCAAGUGAAAGAAAGAGGAAACCUUUUGUUUUUUCUUUGGUUUUCAACUAUGUUACCUAUACAGAGAGACAAGAUACCUGCCAUAAGUGAUGGUGUUAAAAAGAUUAAGCAGCGCACACAAACUUACUAUCGUCUAGACCAUCCAGUGAUGACCCUAGUCUUUUGGUUACGUUAGCUUUAGUUGAAAGAAGGGCCAAUUUAACAAAGACUAGAUUUGAUGGCUUACUAUGUUUAAUGUAAUGCUAAUUUUCAGGGAAUCUAAUGUUAUAACUUAUAAGAUGAUCUCCUAUGAUGAACAACAGUAACACAUUACUGUGAUUGAGAAAACUCAGUUACAAUAAACUCUUCAUUUACUCAUUGAGAAGAUUGAAUAGCAAACAGAGAAUAGAAUGAAGCAGAGGAAUCUCAUUGCCAAUAAAAUUGACCCUCUUUAAUGUUAUAUGGCACAGGUGUGGAGGAAGAACAAGUUACUUGCAGUUUUUAUAGUAAAAUAUACAGGUAUGACCAUGAUCAUUACAGUUAGGUUUUGAUGAUUUCGGAUGCUUUUUUUAAAAAAAAAAAAAUUGUGACAUCUUUGAUUUACGGUAGUUUUGUAGAAAAAAAAUAUAUAAAAAUUAAGAGGGAUGAGUUAAACUGACGAUUACAAUCAUUCCAGCAAUGCUGAUGAGUGAUACAUCACUUGAAAUUUACUUAUUAGUUGCUGAAAUGAUGAAAAAAAAAAACAAUAAACGAUAACAGUAAUAAUGUUCCCUUGCUGAAAUUCAAUUUUGACUUUCGACUCUUGGCUUUUAUGGAGAGUAAAAUGACUUGUAUAUUAUACUCAUACAAUCCACUCUACAUAAUGAUAUCGUUUUAAUAAGGCAAUGGCUGAUGAUCUCCAUUUAAAAACUACAUCAAUUUUUUUGCUUCAUUUAACUCUCUGGUUGUUGAAAAUAACCUUAAUUAUCAAAUAAUUGGAGAAAGAGUUAAGAACAUUUAACAAAUUUAUGUGCAAAAAAAAAAAAAAAAAGGAGAAGUUGAAGAGAAAGGGUGCUUGCAGAAGUGGGUGUCAAAGAUAAAUCGGUCCAUAAGAAUUAUUGGGGUUAUUUUUUGGCAAAAUAAGAACUUAUGCGAUAGCAUUUUUUAUGGGUGCAUAUAACCUCCCUUUAAAAAAAUAUAUAAUAAUUACUGCUUAAUAUAGUAUUAAAUACAAAAAUAUCAAUAUUUGACUACUUAAAUUUAUAUCAUUAGGUCCUUAAAAUUUAAAAUGGAAGAUAUGAAAGGAAAUAUAUAUAAAUUUCAUUGUCCUGGUAAAGGGCCCUCUUAUAAUCUUAUAAUAUUUGAACUUUGAUAGAUUUUUUGAAACAAAUGUACUUUUAUUUGUGUACAAUCAAUAUUUACUCAUUUAUUAUAUUUUAAUUUAUUAACUAUUAAUCAUGUAAGUAUACUUAAUCAGAAAAAUUAUAUCAAGAGAAAAUUCUAAUUUCACGCAAAAACAAAUACCAAAACAAAUAUCUCAAUUUCUAUACUAUUCACUUUCCUGUAGAAUCAAUUAUUUAAAAUGCAAGUUUGUGGCUACAGAAAACUCGCCAAAGAAAGAAGAUAAUAACAAUUGAGCAUUGAUAGCAAAACUAAUGCAUCCAAUUCUUCUUGACUUGAUGAGAUGGCGCCAUAACGUAGACACAAGUACCUAAAUUGACCGGCACUGAGUGAUGUGAAUACUACCAGCCAGUUCAUCUCUUCCAGUCUUGCUUAAUCACAAUCACAAACACCACGAGAUCGACAUUUGCAUUAUAUAUAUCUUCAGCAAUCGAAACACCUUGCAUUACCAAAUAAGCCCGUAACAGACAAAGCAAUCUUUCAUGGAGAGAAACCUUAGUCUCAGUAUGAUCACUGUGUCAUUAACCUACUGCCUGCUUCUUUGCUUGGUUGCUGCAGCAGCAGCAGCGGCAAGCAACAAUAUUACCACAGACCAACAAGCUCUUCUUGCCCUGAAAGAUCAUAUAAUUUAUGAUCCGACCAGCCUUUUAGCUCACAAUUGGACCUCGAAUACCUCUGUUUGUACCUGGAUUGGCAUCACUUGUGAUGCCAAUAGCCAUAGAGUCACAACCUUAGAUAUUUCUCAAUUCAAUCUACAAGGCACCAUCCCUCCUCAACUUGGAAACCUCUCUUCACUCACAACACUUAAUCUUAGUCAUAACAGGCUUUCUGGAAGCGUUCCCUCCUCCAUCUACACCAUGCAUACGCUAAAAUUUCUUGACUUCACUGAUAACCAGCUCUCUGGUUCAGUGUCUUCCUUCGUCUUCAACAUGUCUUCAAUAUUAGUAAUUCGUUUGACCAAUAACAUAUUUUCUGGUGAGCUUCCGAAAAAUAUUUGCAACUAUCUUCCUUAUUUGAAGGCCCUUUUCUUAAACAAAAACAUGUUUCAUGGCAAAAUUCCUUCUGCUUUAUCAAAGUGCAAACAACUGCAACAAUUAAAUUUGCAGUUCAAUAAUUUAUCCGGUGCAAUACCAAAAGAAAUCGGCAACUUGACUAUGCUCAAAGGGAUAUAUCUCCUCUACAACAAACUCCACGGUAUGUUCACAAUACUAUAUAAAUAUUUUAAUUUAUCACUUAUUAUCUUUCUUGAAUAAUUUAGCUAAGAUCUUGUAAGAGAGAUAUUUUGCAUCUACGUUAAUUUACCAGGUGAGAUACCCCACGAAAUCGCUAAUCUUCCAAAUCUAGAGGCUUUAGCGCUUGGAAUCAACAACCUAGUUGGUGUGUUACCAGCUCCCAUCUUCAACAUGUCAACACUGAAGGUACUUAUCCUCAUAAAUAACUCUCUCUCCGGAAGUCUUCCAUCAAGAGUAGACCUUUCACUUCCAACUGUUGAGCAACUUAACUUGGCACUUAAUAGAUUUUCUGGAACCAUUCCUAGUUCCAUCACCAAUGCUUCUAAGCUCACCUUUCUAGAGUUGGGAGCAAACACAUUUUCGGGGUUUAUUCCAAACACAAUUGGUAAUUUAAGAAACCUUAAGUGGCUCGGCUUGGCUAAUAACUCCUUGACAUCUUCAACCUCAAAAUUGAGCUUUCUUUCCUCUUUGGCAAAUUGCAAGAAAUUAAGAUUCGUAAACUUAAUAGGCAAUCCACUGGACGGCUUCCUUCCAAGUUCAAUAGGUAAUCUUUCUGUGUCUUUGGAAACACUUGGCAUCGGCAAUUGCAGUAUUAGUGGCAACAUUCCUCCAGCAAUUAGCAAUUUAAGCAACUUGUUGACCUUAGUAUUACACGGCAAUAAAUUGACUGGACCAAUCCCAACUACAUUCGGCCAACUGCAGAAACUCCAAGGCUUAGAUCUUGCAUUCAAUAAGUUGGUAGGUUCAUUCCCAGAUGAGCUUUGCCAUCUGGCAAGGCUGGAUCAAUUGAUCUUAUUUGGCAAUAAGCUUUCAGGAUCUAUACCUUCAUGCUUAAGCAACCUCACUUCUCUAAGAUCUCUCUAUUUAGGGUCUAAUAAGUUUACUUCUGUUAUUCCCUCAACCUUCUGGAGCCUAAAAGACAUCUUGUUCUUUGACUUUUCAUCAAAUUUCUUGGUUGGUCCUCUUUCUUUAGAUAUAGGAAAUUUGAAGGUGCUUCUAGGAAUAAGUUUAUCGAAAAAUAAUUUAUCCGGUGAUAUCCCAGCCACAAUUGGAGGACUGAAAGAUCUUCAAUUUAUGGACCUAGCAUAUAAUAGAUUGGAAGGCCCAAUUCCUAAAUCAUUUGGUGACUUGAUAAGUUUAGAAGUUCUGAAUUUAUCAAAUAAUAAAAUCUUUGGGUCUAUUCCAACAUCCAUGGAGAAACUUUUUUACCUCGGAGAGUUAAAUCUCUCUUUCAAUAAACUAGAAGGUGAGAUUCCUAGUGGAGGAACUUUUGCCAACUUCACAGCUAAGUCAUUUAUGGGAAAUGAGUUUUUGUGUGGUUUACAAAAUCUUCAAGUCCAACCAUGCAAAGUUAGCAAGCCGAGGACAGAACAUAAAUCAAGGAAAAAGAUACUUCUCAUUGUGAUUGUUUCGCCAUUGAGUAUUGCUCUAACAAUAGCAAUCACUCUAGCUCUCAAAUCUAAGCUGAUCGAAUGUGGAGAAAGAAGCACAGUGUUGUCAAAUGAUAGUAUCUUGUCAUCACAAGCAACACUAAGAAGAUUUUCAUACUUAGAACUUUUACAAGCAACAGAUAAUUUUGCUGAAAACAGCAUAAUUGGCAGAGGAGGUUUCGGUUCCGUUUAUGGAGCAAGACUUGAAGAUGGGAUGAAGAUUGCAAUAAAAGUGUUUCACAGGCAAUGUGCAAGCGCAUUGAAGAGUUUUGAGGCUGAAUGUGAAGUGAUAAAAAAAAUUCGCCAUCGAAACCUUAUCAAAGUUAUCAGCAGUUGCUCGAACGAUGACUUCAAAGCAUUAGUCCUAGAAUACAUGUCCAACGGGAGCUUAGGGGAUUGGCUGCAUUCGAGCAAUUACGUGCUGAAUAUUUUUCAAAGGUUGAACAUACUAAUUGACGUUGCAUCAGCUUUAGAAUACCUCCACUUCGAUCAUUCAACUCCUAUUAUUCAUUGUGACUUAAAGCCUAGUAAUGUAUUGUUGGACGAAAAUAUGGUUGCUCAUUUGAGUGAUUUUGGCAUAGCAAAGCUUUUAAGUGGAGAAGAUGAGUCUACGAUGCGAACAAAAACCCUUGCCACUAUAGGUUAUAUGGCACCAGGUUUGCUUCAAACAA
rnacentral:lncRNA from 1 species